CAUCUUCCAUAAGGCGCUUCCAUGCCUUUUCCAGCAUUGUUUCCUGACCAAUCGUAGGCCCAGUAGGCCUUUCUUCUACUGCAGAUCUCAAAACCGGCUCAGUAACCUCUUUAAAAUUACCCUCCGAUUUGAGUUUCUUAACCUCUUUCAGCAACAAGAAUACCUUUUUCCCAUAUUUGUAGCUGGAACAUACACUUUUUGAAGAUAAACCACAGAGACAUAACUUCUUAAGCUCAACAGGACUAGUACUAAGCAGAUUAUUGAAUCGUGUAUCGAUGCUCUCGACACGUGUUAGCCAUACCUUGACAGCUUCAAGCCUUUGUUGAUGUUGUGCCUCCUCUCUCGCUACUUUGUUCUUCACCUCAGCUUCAAUUGCCUUGAGAUCAUCCAUUUCCCUCUUCAGAGCCCUGAGAUUCUCCUUGAGGUUUCGAAUAUAACCUUUGCCACAUAAGAAUCUAAAGAUACGAUUGAGAUCACCACCAGUAAGUUGGAUAGGAUUACAACUCCCCAUGUCGAUAGAAAGAGAGAAAACUUUGAGUAAGCAACAAACGAAAGCUAAAGAUGAAGAAGUGUUUUAUGUGAAAAGCAUUUUACAAGUGACGAAGGCAUAUAUGAUUUGUUAUCUGUCGGUCCUCUUUGGUUUCUAAUUUCCACCACUCCCACAUAUGCAUCGACUGAUACGAUUCACAUGAAAAAUGAAAAGCCACACAAUUUCUCUAUGGUGAUAGAAAGAGAAUAUUUCUGAAGCUGAAGAAGUUUUUAUUGUCAAAAAUAUCAUUGGAGAUAAGAUAACACAUCUUUCUCCAAUACGGGUGGUUAGGAGAUUUUCCAAAGGGAAAAAAAAAAAUUGCUUACGAAAGACUUUGACUAUUCUAAUAUCCGACCAUAGAUUUUACGAGUGAAGACUUUGCUCAAACUUAUUUCAAGUCAACUAAAGUCCUAUCUUCUGCUCUUAUGUUCUUCGUUUGGCGCUUGUAGCUGUCAAUUUGUUAGCCAUGUUGGCUUUGUUAUUGUUUGUAAACAAGUCUUCCUCUAAUGGAGCGUAGCUAAUCUAUAAAAUCUCAUUUGAGCAAAAAGAAAAUUAAAAGGAAACCCAAGUCUAAGGUGACAGAAACGUGGAUUGGUCAAGUAGUGGAGAUGAUUAAGUAAUCAUUGUCUGUUAUGCCCAAAGUAGCUUACGAAGUGGAGUCUUCUUUUGCGUUGAAAUCCUAUACGAUUAUUGUGUUGUGCCGAUUCUAUUUUUUCGUUAGUCUCUCUGUAGUAGAAGAACAUACCUUAGAUUUAGGCAUUGCCUGUUUAUGAUUUCAUUUAGAUUCAUGUUUCUUUUUAGCACCCUAUUGAGAAUUUAUUAUGUGCUACUUGAGAUAAAUCUGGGUUUGAAUUCUUUAAGUUGCUCAUUAAUGGAGUUUUAGUCAUGUCUAAGAGUAGAAAGUAUAUAAAAGCUUUUAAAAAAAGACUUGAUGAAUGGCAGAAAGAAUAUGAUCAGGGAGUUUUAUAAAGCUGAGGAUGAUGAAAAAUCGAACAUACAAAGUAUUUUGCCAUGUCUAAAACCAGAAUGUCCUACUGCCAAAUCUGUUGGGUAGUAGAACUUUUCUAGUCAAUGCGGUGGCAAAUCGAAUCUGGGGGAAGAAGUGUAAGAUUUUUUCUCGAAAACUUGGUGAAACUUCUUAAUGUUGUAUCACGUAUUGUUGUUCCAUGGACUUCCGCUGCCACUUUAAUAUAUAUUUUUAUCGUCCCAUUCAUUUCUUGCUGAACAAGAAACCCAAAUGUGGAAAGAAAAGAAGAAGAAAUUGUUUGUGAUUUUAUCCUUUGAAGAUCAAUACACAUAUGUUUUUACAUUUUUAAAUAAUGAAAUUAAUCCCCCAAAUACAUGCAUGACUUUUCUAAUAAUUUUUUAUUAUGUUGUUCCAAUUUGUGUUUGUUGGGUGUAUGAUAUAUUAUGAUGCAAAUGGAGAGUAUCAGUCUAAAUAAGGGUGCAUACUUCAAGCUAUUCUAGAGCAAACAAGUAAGAAACUUUAGAGAUGAAAAAAAACAACUCAAGCGGAAGAGUAUAAGAGAACUGAUUACCAGAUGGAUUAAAGGCAAGAAACGUUUUUGGUAUCUUCGUCCUCCCAUUCAAGCUCAGUUUAUCUCUUCUCCAGGACCCAUACCUAUUGUAAACCAGGCAAUUCGUGGGACACUUGUAGCAUCUAAGGGAAGCUUUCUCAGCUGUGGACACUCUUCUACUGUUAAUUUUUGCAAUAACAGUAGAUACUCUCCGGCUUAAGCAAAUUUCUUAUCGAAAACACUUCUAGUUUCUGAAACGGUGUAAUACCUCUAACUGUAAGAUUGACUUCUUUCUCUUUGCUUAUAAUAAUAUCUUCUACUUCUUCUGAAUAUCCACGUAGACGACAAGAUUUGGAGCAAACAGUGGAUUUCUAAGUUCUCUAGUUUGGGAAAUUUCGUGGCUUAUGAUGAACAAGUUGGGGUUUACUGAAAUUGAGUUCUGGUUUAAUCAAGACUGGUUAUAUCAUUAAUUCUUUAAGCCGGUUAAAGCAGUAUUAUGGUUCUAUUUUGGAAGUGGGUUCACUGACAUUGAUUUUUUUUGUUUUGUUUUAUAAUUUAAUUCAUUUUCAUAGAUGAAUUUGAAAGGUUACAGCGCAAAUAAACCUCAGACCGGUGAUCAGGUGAAACAUGAAAGAUAAAAUUAUGUAUAAGCUUUCCAGCAGUCAAAUCCCAUACCUAUUGGAUAUGAUCAAAUAUUAUAUCAAUUGUUAGAAACACAUACGUUGGGGAAAAGAGAAUGCGCAAGAUCCAUUUAUAGAUAUUGCAGUGCUUACCUUUACAACAUUGUCAAGUCCUCCAGUCACUACAAAAUUUACAACAUACGUUGGAGUAAAUUUGAUAGUGUUGAUGCCACGAGUAUGACCCUUGUACCUCUGUAUGCAUCCCUUCUUUCUGAUGUCCCAAAUCUUCAAAUUCGUGUCACUUGAUCUAUGAUGCCAAAAAUUCACCAAAUGGAUGAAAUUCAACAGCAGAACAAUUGGAUCUAUGUCCAGUAAAAGCUCGAACCACUACACUUCAAGAGUAAGAGUGAACAUGUUAGACCUCAUAAUUCUAAAGUAAACGAUAGAUAUGGUGUGGUACACUGCUCAAAUAUCAGGACCCAUAAUCAACAUCUAACUCAAUCGGUAUCUCUAUAUGUUCCCAUUUGAUGAAACUAGCUAGGCAUAUAAGGAGCAACAAGUAUUCUAAAGGAGAGCAGAAAAUCAAUCAACUAACUCUUUGCUUCUUCUAGAUCCCAAAGCUUUCUCACACCCGAAGAAGCUCCACCAAGCACCAAAACUUCUGCCGAGUCAAAAGCUACUGAAUCCACUGCACUAGUAUGUCCACAUAAACUCUGCAAACAACUCAAGAAAUGAAUAUAGCAGCACUCUUCUAUAUAAAAAACAAUACACACUUUUUGCUCAACAAGGAGGAAAAAUUUAGACAAGAGAGAAAACGUGAAACACACCAUUAAAGAAGUAGGCUUGCCGAUCGCCCAAAGGUUGACAUUGUAAUCAUCACCACCAGUAAUAAGGAGCCGUGAUGUCUUCUUUCCGAUACUUAAGCAAUUUACAUUUGCAGAAUGUGCCAAAAACUCCUCUACGUUUCCAAAAUCAAGUCAAGGUAUAAGCAAACACCAGACAAGAACAGCUAAAGAAAGGAGCAGCCUUUGAAGCAACUCGACAGCAAAACAUAAAGCAGGUCAUAAAUGGAGAGAAGUACUUUCACAUACAAAACAUAUCCAGAAAAUAUCCAUUUUCUAUCAUAUUGAGCAGCCAGUGAUAGAAACAUUUGACCCGGAAUUAAUUUCUGCUAAAAUCUUGAAAUGCUAAUCAAAACUUGAAGCUUAUCAAUAGCAAACUAAGCUUUGCUCUUGGGAGUUUUUAAAGAUAAAACCCUAACGAUUCGGUGAUUUAAAAAAAAAAAAAAAAAGACGACAAAAAUUUCUCAGGAUGGAGCUAAAAAUCCAGAGUUCGUUCAAUUUUACUCAGCUUAAGAAUCAACAACAUCGCCAGGAAUAUAAAAGGAUACGCAGCUUAUAUCCACGCUUCGCCAUUUUCUACUCGAUUUCCAGCAAAUCCGUGGGAAUCAAUGGAAUCCGAAUCUCUAGCUUCCGUAAUCGAUCGAAAAAACGGUGAAUCGGAGCUGAAAAAAAAAUCCCAAUUGUCACUACACGACAGAGCUCGAGAUUUUCGGGAAAUUCAAAAGGAGAAACACGGAGGUUGCUUCCCGUUGAGAUUUCAAAUCUAGAACGUGAGAAAAGAAUCAAAUUCCGGGAACAAGAAUUUUGAAGGAAACGAGAUAAUCAGAGAUUCAAAUAGUGACACGGAGCAGAAAGAAAAAAAGAAACAGAAGAGAAGAAGAAAAAUGGUAAAGCGAAGGAAGUUUUUUAUGUUGUCAAUAUUAUUCGAUAGGUGAGGAAGCACCUCAUCAUCUCUUGGAUUUGUUUGUUUCCUAAAGACAUUGUCAACCUUAUAUAUAUAAAUAGGGUAAUUAAGCGUAGUGUUUUGUUUGGUAAGACAUAAUAUUAUACAUAUAUAACAUUUAAAUACUCGAAUCAAAGAGAUAAUUAAGAAAUUUUGAAUCAAAGCCUAUAACAUAGUGUCUAGAAAAUCAAUAAAAAAUCUUUAAAUGAUUUAGAUAUUAAAAUCAAUUUUUAAAAAUAUUUCUCAAAAUUUUGUGGAUAAAAUAAUCUAAACGAGAAUUGUUUUCAUUGUUUUGUAUAAUAUUUCGAAAAUUGAAAGUAGACUAAAUUAUGUAGAAAAGAAGAAUCUACGACCGCUAACAAACACCUGAACACGAAAUUCAUUAUGAUUAAACAAAUAUCAAACUUUCUUUUUUUCCAACAUUAGUAUCAUGUUUUUCAUGUCAGUCAGUUUCUAUGUUGCUUCUCAUCUUUAGAUGCUUUAGUAUUUCUCAAUGUUUUUAAACCCGACCCGGACAACGACCCGAAGUAUUCUUCGGAUUGUCGGUUAACUGGAUUGACCUGGAUUAAUCCGGGUCAACCGCGGAUCAACUAAGUAUAUAUAUUUGUUAUGUUUUUUAAUAAAUUUUAUCACUUUUGUUACAUUUUUUUUAAUGUAAAAAAAUACAAAUUUUUGCUAAAAAGUUUUGUCACUAAAUCGCAUUAAUUAUUAUAUAUCUUUUUCUAUAUAAUUUUUUUUAAUAAAAUUAAAUUAAAAUAUACACUAAAUAUAGUGAUCAUAUUAACUAUAUUUUUGAACAUUUUUAAUUAUAUAUUUUUUCCUUUUAUUUAUUUUCUUUUUUAAACAGUUAAUUUUUUACUAGAAAAUUUGAUAUUACAAAACUUACAAUUGUAUAAUGGUGAGAAAAUAACAAACUAUUCAAUAAAAUAUAGAAAAACAAACUGUUAUUACUACUAAAAACAUUCAAAUAAAAGUAUAUUAAUUGUCUCUAAAAUCCAAAAAUAAUGUAGAAAAUUUUAGCAAUAUUUUUUGAUUUUGUUACCACCUCAUUUUUUCCAUCUUCUGUUAUUGUAAGUGCUCUGCAUCUUGUUCUAAUUUUGUUUUCUAAAACUGUAUUUUUUUUUUAAAAAAAUAUCAUAUAUUCAUAAAUAAAUUUAUAAAACUAUUAAUUUUUUUCCAAACCAGAAACCCAUCCAGAUCGGGUUUUUGCCGGUUCACCGAGUUUAAGCGGGUUUUUCUGGAUUUAAGCGGUUUAAUAGCAUUUUGGGUUUCAACAAAAACUAAACCGGAAAUUUUACCAGGUCACGGUUUAACCGGUUAAACCGUCCGGUCCGAUCUGGGUCUGAAAACAUUGGUAUUUCUCUUACAACUAUGCUCAUGGUAUUUAGUGGUUGGAUGAUUUACUUUAAGAUUAGAAUACUAAUAAUUUGAAUAUUCUUACAACAAUUUCAACUGUAGUUGAAAUCUGAAGCCAUAUUAAAUGAUAAAUAUACUCAGUUUUUAAUUAUUCACAAACUACAAAAAUUAGUCUAGAUUUCGAUAUAGAAUUUUAUAAUUAUCAAUAUUUUCUUCUUCUUUUCCUGAUAGCAUAAGCUUUUAUUGUUUAUUUUUAGUUAAAAAAGAAAAUAAAGUAUAGCAAAUUAAACACAUUAUUGAAACAAAUGUUAGGAAUCUUAUACUGAAUAUUUGAUAGAACCCAAAGUAAUAUAUAAGUGAAAUGGAUCAAUCCGCACCAAUUAUUUUUAAAUCAGAACCCCAUAAAACGUAAUGUGGUAGCGGAAUCCAAAUUUUGUUGACUUACGGUAGUAAUAUAUAAGUGAAAUUAAUCAAUCUGCUAAUUACCAGCUACUUUUAAAUCAGAAUAUCAUAACGUAAUGUGGUAGCAUAAUCCAACUUUGUUGAUUUAAGUAGGAUAGCCCGAAUAAGAAAUAUUGUAGUUCGUGUAUGGCAUACUGCAAAUCUUAGAAUAUGUUUUGGUUUGAGUCUUCAAGAUGUGCGAGAUAGUUAUCAUCUAGAGGAAAUGGACUUAAAGAACUAUAUAAGAGAUACACUCAUAAUUCAUAUAUACCAGAAUCCAUUUUAUUACCAAUUUUUUUUUAGUUAGAACCUAUAAAACUUAGAAACAUAUAUCAUGAUAUAGAAUCAAAGGUCAUCUCACUAAAAAUUAUUAUGCUCACAUAUGGUUUAGUUAUUCAAAAAAAUAAAUAAUCAAACAUACGAAUUAACCAAAAUAUAGUCUUAAAAGUUUUAGGUCUGCUAAAAUGUUUUUUUUAGGUGUUACUAUGCUAAGCUUCAAAUUGUAUUGUAUUCACUCUUCAGUAUAAGACUAAUGAACAUUUAAUUUACAAUUUUGAAUUUUCUAAUGGAGUAGACCGAGAUCAGGCCCAGGCUAUAACCGCUUCUUACAGGCUAUUGAUGCAAUCAAAUGUUACAAAUUGCGAACGGCUAUUUGCUUUGUGUUAGCAUUGGUCCAUUGAAUUUUAAUUUUUUUUUAUAAUAUAUUGAGUCAUAUGUAAAUACUAGAUGCCUGGUACCGGUUCUUAUCAGCUUCGCUGCUUUGUAUAUAGUCGCCGUCUGCAAGAAUCAUUCUGAGAAAUGCUAGACAAGAGUGAGAAAGACAAUUUUGUAAAAGAAAGAAGAUUGAGUUUUGCCAGAAACUACUCUACAAGAUUGUUGUAGUUUCUGGACACGCAGCUAAUUCAAACGACGAACCAAUGUUCAAGACCGGUGGGUGGUGAAUAAUUGAGCGUAUCAAUUAAGCUUGCGAAUUUGUUUUUUUUUUUUUGGCUGAAGAUUUGUUCUUGGGUUCUUGUUUUAAUGUUCUUAAUGUGGUGAAGCCAUUAGGAAAGGAAUGUGAAAACUCUUAAAAUUAAGAAGACUCUUUCCAUGUCUUCUUAAGCGAAGUUGUCUCUAGUUAUUGCCCCAAAUCAGAAAGCCACUAGACAUAGUUUAGGAUUAGAUGGAAGUCAUAGCGUCUUCAGAUUAGGUUUAGGGGAUUUAAAUUAAAGAGUCUGAAAAACAGGAUCUUCAUGAUUUAGCAAAAUCAUAUAACUUUUCAUCUUGAUUCCUCCUGUUAACAACAGAAACACACUGCAAGAUGAAAUAGAAAAAGCUACAGGUAGAGGAAUUUGAUUUUGGAUAGUGAGGAAUCAAAAUACACAGUGAAUUCAGAGGCAUCACAUACUUUUAUGAUAUAAGCAUAAAAACUGUUGAUUAUAUAAAUACAUGUAGCUUGAGAAGGAAGCAAUCCGCCUUAACUUAUUACAUAGAAAAUUGAAAAGAGAAAAUCCAAUUGAACAACACAACACACUGCAGAGAGAGAUAAGAAUGCAUAGGAAAAGCAAUAAUACAAUCCAAAUGAGCAACACAUCACACUUUCAAGAAGAAAGAGAACGCAGAAGAAGAAGCGAGGAUUCUGGUUUCUGACAGUGAGGAAUCCCAAUCCAGCUUAAGGGAUGGUUAGACAUACUGAAUCCGCUAAAGAAGAAAAAAAUAAACAAAAGUUAGUGAAUAUUCAUAAAAAAAAUACAUUUCACCUAAAACUGCUAGGAAUAUCCAGCAAAAUCUUAAGAAGCUGAACUAAUAUUAAUCAGUUUCUAUUAAAUAUUUUUAUAUAUUCUUUGCUUAACGAAUGUGAAAGGAAAAGAAGAAGAAGAAAAACACUGUUUGUAGAUAUAGUCAUUUGAACAGCUCAAUGCACAUAUGUAGAAAUUUUAAUGACCCCUCGUAUAUAUCCAUUAAACACAGGUCUGAUGAUUUUCCAGAUAAUUGUCUAAUUUUGUGCCUCAAUUUGUGUUUUGUUGGAUAUCAUGAUGCAAAUGGAUAAUAUCAGACCAAAGAAAAAACGAUCACACCUCAUUCUAACCUUGAGCAAACUUGAAAGAAACGCAGUAAGAUAAAAUAAUUUAUUCAAGCGGAAGAGAAUAAGAGAAAUGAUUACCGAAUGGAUUAAAGGCAAGAUACGUUUUUUGGUAUCUUCAUCCUCCCAUUCAAGCUCAGUUUUCUGUUCUUCAGGACGCAUAUAUAUUCCAAACCCGUCAAGUCGUGGGACACUUGUAGCAUCAAAGGGAAGCUUUCUCAGCUUUGGACAAUUUCCUACAUAUAUGUGCCGCAAUGAUGGAAAGGGGAGAGGACUCCAGUAGAUACUCUCCAGCUCAGGCAACUGUAACAGGGAUAACUUUUCUAGUUUCUGAAAUGGUGUAGUACCUGUAAGAUUGGUUGCUUUCUCUUUGUUUAUGAUUUCUUCUAGUUCUCCUAAAUGUGAAAUGUCUAGCCAAGUCAGAUUUGGAGCAAACAGUAGCCAAGUCAGAUCCUUAAUGCCAGGACAGCUAACCAUUGCCACGACGGAGAGGUUGGUAAAGCGUGGACUUGUCCGAUUGUGUAAAUGAGAUGAGUCGGUCUCGCUUUCUCUGCAUUUAGUAUAUGUAUUAAUCUCCGAGACAUGACUUUUUUUCACACAGUGCUCACGAAGAUUCUCCAUACUCACCAGCGAUGACAUAUUGAAUGGCUUUUCUUUAAAACCUUGAAUAACCAGAUGAAUGAUGCAGUUAGCCAACCUUUGAUCGCCUAAUAUAUGCUUCAAACCCAACUCGGUAGAGAUCGUUAUGUCUAGAACUUGUAGAUGCUACAAGAGCUGCAGCUCCUUCAACAAGCUAACAUCUUCAUGAACUUUAGAAUUUUCUAGUCUCAAAAUUCUUAAACUCGACAGCUUUGAUAUCCCACUGAUACUACAAAGACUCUCUGUACCAGUCAAAUCCAGAUGAAUUAGCUUUUUCAACUCUUGGAAACCAACUGGCAGUUGCUUUAUACUUGUGUACGACAAGUUAAGAUACUGCAAGGAGGCCAGCUUCGAUAUCUGCUCAGGAAGUUUUUGGAAAUCAUCAUUAUCUGAUAGAUCCAAAACAACUAGCUUUUGCAUAGAGCCGAUGAAUUCACCUGAGAGAUUCUUCAACUUAUUCUUCUGGAGGAGCAGAGUUGUAAGUUCAGAACACUUGGAACUGCAUUUUAUCUCUUUAACCUCAUUCCUCAUUAAAGACAUCCUUCUCACAGCUCUCCAAUUCUUGACUUUUGGCGUUUCGUGUAAUCCGACUCCUGCUUGAACAAAAAAAGACUCAGAUGCAAUCCAUAGAGCCAUUUCGCGAACCACGUCAUGCAUCACAACAAGACCUAUCCUAUCAGGCUGUUCUGUCAGUAAAUUUGAGCGGAUAAGGGUACCAAGUACCUCAUAACCCUUAUUCACUGCCCUUUUAUAAGAUUGGUGUUCCCCGAUGAAUCCCUCGCACAUCCAAUAUUUUAUCAAAUCUCCUUUAUCUAUCUCAUAAUCUUCCGGAAACAGAGCACAAUAGAGGAAACACGACUUGAUAUGUUCACCCGCCAAGCUAUCAUAGCUAUACUUCAGAAUCGGAAGAAUUUUGUUUUCCAUGUCAGAAAACUCUGCAGCUGAUCUGGACAAAACAUCGACUGCAAGCUCCCAUUCUUGUACCGUAGUUUGAGAUGACAUUGUCUCACCAAUGACAACAAGCGCUAGUGGCAGACCACAACAUUCUUUAGCGACCUUUUUGGCAAGCUCGACAAUGGCAGGAUCUCUACUUAAUGUAUUAUCUCCUACCUUGCUUUUGAACAAUUCCCAUGCUUCAGUCCAUUCCAAACAGUUGACUUUCAUCGGCUCAUGAUCUCCCAUCCGCCCACAUACUACCCGAGAACGAGUGCUGAAUGUUACUUUGCAUCCAUUUUCUCUGGUUGGAAACGGAACUCCAAUGACUUCUAAAUCAACUUUCUCCCAUAUAUCAUCUAACAUCAGGACAAAUCUCUUCCCUUUUAAAACUCUGUGUAUAUUGAUUGCCUUGUCACUUUCACUUUUGUUCUUCCACUCGCCGUCGCAAAGGUGUAGCUUUUGUGCAAUAUCAUCUUGAAGCUUUGAAGUAGUUGCACCUUGAGACACCACGACCCAGAUCACAACAUCAAAUCUACCAGCCACUUCAGUGAACUUAUUGUGGAUAUUCUUGAAAAGGGUAGUCUUGCCUACACCUCCCAUACCGUGCAAACCCAUGAUUCCAACUCCAUCUUCCAUAAGGCGCUUCCAUGCCUUUUCCAGCAUUGUUUCCUGACCGAUCGUAGGCCCACUAGGCCUCUCUUCUACUACAGAUCUCAAACCCGGCUCAGUAACCUCUUUAGAAUUACCCUCUGAUUUGAGAAUCUGGACCUCUUCCAGCAACAAGAAUACCUUUUUCCCAUAUUUGUAGCUCGAACAUACACUUUUUGAACAUAAACCACAGAGACACAACUUCUUAAGCUCAACAGGACUAGUACUAAGCAGAUCAUUGAACCGUGUAUCGAUGCUCUCGACACGUGUUAGCCAUACCUUGACAGCUUCAAGCCUUUGUUGAUGUUGUGCCUCCUCUCUCGCCACUUUGUUCUUCACCUCAGCUUCAAUUGCCUUGAGAUCAUCCAUUUCCCUCUUCAGAGCCCUGAGAUUCUCCUUGAGGUUUCGAAUAUAACCCUUACCACAUAAGCAUCUGACGAUAUGGUUCAACGUUUGAUCACAGGAAAGUUGGAAAGACACACAAUUCCCCAUGGUGAUAGAAAGAGAGAAAACUUUGAGUAAGCAACAAACGAAAGCUAAAGAUGAAGAAGUGUUUUAUGUGAAAAGCAUUUAACUAAUUCUGAAGAAGGAAGAGAGGAUUAGUUAGAUUUUAGUCUACUAUGCGUUUUAAUUUCCGCCAUUGUUUCGAAGGACGUUUAGUCGUUUACUUUAGAUGCAAUUAUGUUUGAAAAAUUCAAAGGUCAAUUACCAACUCUUAUCAUUAUUAAGAUGCAACUAUGUUUUAAAUUAUACAAAGGUCAAUGAUUUAAUCGCCCAGUUUGGAUUAUUAUGCAACUAUGUUUUAAAAAAACAAAGCUCAAUUAAUGUUUAAUCACUGGGUUUGGAUUAUUAUCAUCACUUGUUGUUAAUUAUUUAAAUCAUUCACUUUAAAAUAUUUGUGAAAAAUCAAUUACUUUAGAAUAUUUUCCAAAUGACAUGGGAACCAAUAACCAUGAUCAAAAACGGUGUGGUGCGAUCGCACGAAGCCAAAAACAACUUACAAGAAAUCUGGAACAGAGCAGACAAUGGAGAAGUCUAAGGAUCUCGUCAAGGCUGAGAACUCAGAAUGGCCUCCAAAUUUUAUCUGCACCUGAAUUCAGAAUGGCCUAACAAAAAGUGCAGAAUGGCUUAUAAAAACUGCCCAUACCAAGCAAAAAAAAAAAAAAAAAAAAAAACAAAAAACAAAGUCAGUCAAUAACAGAUAUCAGUCUCGAAGUUGCUUUUUUGUUUCACCAAAAAAAAGAAAAGAAGAAGUUGCUUCUUUUGUGGGAAAAGCAGAGGUCAUAUAAAGGCUCAUUGUUACAGGUUUCAGAGGAAAGUAAAUCAGUUUUAGAAUCAUCAAGACUAUAUGGAAAAACCAUUGAGAUUCACAGAAGCAAAGAAUUUUAUUUUGGACAUCGAGGAAUAAAAAUCUAAAAUCAAAAUCCAAAGGUACAUUGAAGGAUGUUUAGACCCAAAACGGCUACAAAAGAAAAGAAAGAAAAAAAAGUUAGUGACACUUGUGGAACGCAUUGAAAUUGAGAGGGACAACAUAUUCUGAAAAUAAAAUUCCAUUUUAACAUGUCUGCAGGGAUUAUCCAACUAAUUCUACCUCACCAUUGAUAUCUUAAGAAGCUGAACUAGGUUUAAACGGUUUUGUUGCGGAUAUCACCAAUAUCAAUUCGUUCAAAUUGAGUUUCCGAUCUGAAUCUUUAGAUGAAAUAGAAACGAGAAAUAAGCAAUAGAAACUACACACAAGAUUUAUCCAGUUUAGGGGCCAACCGCGACCCUACAUCUGGCAGAGACUUCCUCGGAAUUCACUAAGAGAAUGGUUUACAGAGUAGCCGUUACUCUCACUGGAAGAUACCCCGAGAAUCCCUUUCACUCACCGGAAAGAUCUCACAGUUUUCACUCACCAAUUACAAAAAAUGGUAUGUCGAAGAAGAUCUCUCUCUCUCUCUCUCUCUCUCUCUCUCUCUCUCUCUCUCUCUGUCUGCAACUAAUUAAUGACCGACCCGUAGUAACAAACCGAAACAACCCCUGCGCGUAAACACACGCUCUAACGGUCACUCUUCGAUAUCAGCUUCUAGAAGAAGCUCGUAACGAUGACGUCUUGGAGUCUUACCUUAUCCGGUUCACCUAAUCCUGAAAUCAAUAUCCUGACUUCAUAAACCGGAACCUGCUAAUUGAACUAGAUGGUUUAUCAACCAAACCCAUCGGACAGGUUUUUUAACUUUCUCUUUUAACAUUUUUCUCCUCCCAUAUAUUCUUUGCUGAACAAGAAACCCAAAUGCCAAAUGUGAAAGAAGAAGAAGAAGAAUUAUUUGUGAUUUGAUCAUUGAAGAAUUCAAUACACACAUGUUUUGUAAUUUUGGAAUUAAUGAUACCCCAUACAAAUCCACCAAACACAUGUUUUAUUUUCAACGUAAUUUUACAGUUUGUGAUCCAGAUUUGUUUGUUGAGUAUCAUGAUGUACAUAUGGAUCAUAUCAGUCUAAUAAAACGAUUCAGACCUCAUGCUAACCUUGAGUGAAAGAAACUUAGUAGUAAAAAUAAUUACCCAAACAGAAGAGUUUAAAGGCAUCUUCUAUAUAUAAUUCUAUAUUUUACUCUAUUUAGAUACUCCAUUUUUAGAGUAAUUCUAUUUUUAGAGUAAUUCCAUUUUUUAAUAGUAAUUCCAUUUUGGAGUGAAAUAUGAAAUAGGUUUAGAGAGAAUUUUCUUCGAACUCGAAAUUUGGAGUAGAGUCGGAGAUGAUCUAAGAGAACUGAUUACCCCAUCGAAUGAACGCAAGAAACGAUUCUUGGUAUCUUCGUCCUCCAUUCAAGCUCAGUUUUUUGUUCUUGAGGAAUCAAUCUUAUUACAAACUGGCCAACUCAUGAGAAACUUGUAGCAUUUAAGGGUAGCUUUCUCAGCUUUGGACAGAGAUCAGCUACUAUGUGCUUCAGAAAUGGAAAGGCAAGAGGACUCCCGUAGAUACUCUCCAGCUUAGGCAAAUUCCUAAAUGUUAUAAAUUUUAGUUUAUGAAAUGGUCUUAUACCUGUAAGAUUGUUACUUUUUUGUUUACAAUGUCUUCCAGUCUUCUUGAAUUUUCAAUCUGUAGGUAGACAAAAUAUAUUGACUAGAUUAUGUUGAAAAAUGUCAAUCUCUAAAACAUUGCUUCAGUUCGCCAACCUUCAAUCGCCCAAUAAUUGCUCCAAAUCCAACUCCGCAGAUAUGAUUAUGGUUAGAACUUGUGGAUUCUCCAAGAGCUGAAGCUCCUUCAAUAAGCUAGCAUCUCCAUGAAAAUUAGAAUAUUGGAAUUUCAAAAUUCUUUAACUUGAUACUUUUGAUAUCCCAUUGAUACUAGAAAGUCUCUAUGUAACAAUCAAAUUCAGCUGACUUCGCUUUUUAAAAUCUUGGUAGCCAACAUGGAGUUGCUCUAUACUGUAUACAACAAGUCAAGAUACUGCAAGGAUGCCAGCUCUGAUAGUUUUUUCAUAGAGCGGAUGAAUUUACCUGAGAGAUUUUUCAAAUUAUCACUCUGGAGGAACAGAGUUUUAUAAGUUCAGAGCACUUGGAAAUGCAAGUUAUCUCUUUAAUCGUAUUCUUCAUUAAAGACAUCCUUCUCACAGCUUUCCAAUGCUUGACUUUUGGUACAUAACCCUUAUUCUUCGCUCUUUUAAAAACUUGGCAUUCUCCAAUGAAUCCCUCGCAGAUCACGUACUCUAUCAAUUUUUCUUUAUCUAUUCGAACAUCUUCUGGAAACAGAGCACAAUAAAAGAAACAUGACUUGAUACGUUCAUCCACCAAGCAAUUGUAGCUGUACUGGACAUUUUGCUAAUGUUGAGCAAACAUGACUUUAUCUAUAGAGGAAACAUGACUUUAUCUAUAGUGUUUUUGGUCAAUAGGUGGAAUGCAUUUAGCUAAUGACGAUGAAAGAGAGAGAUUGUGUUAGAUUUCAUUCCUCUUUGCUUUGUAAUUUCUCCCAUAGUUUCAAAGUCGUCGACUUGAUGCAACCAUGUUUUUAUAAAGAUGAUUAAUCCCCAGUUUCGGAGUAUUUUAAUCACAUUAGAUGCCACUAUGUUUUAAAAGACAAAGCUCAAAUUCGUUGACUUGAGCUUUUCAAGAACGAUUUGAAACGUGUGGCUGAUGUUCCAGAAAGAAAUGCACCUGAUUUCAGAAUGGCCUCCAGAAACCUGCACCAUACCAAGUAAAAUCAAAACAAAUUAAAGUCAGAUAAUAAAAAAUUAAAAGAGGAAUGCUUCUGGGGGACAACUCCUAAGCAGCAUUGCUCUUGGAUUUGGAAAUCUAUUCUCUCUCUCUUAUGCCCCUUGCAAAGAAUCUGAUCGGAUGUGAUGUUAGGGAUGGCGUGUCAACAAGUUUCUGGUUUGACUCUUGGACCAAUUUAGGUCUGUUGAUUGACUUGACAGGUCUUGAUGACCCACAAAAAAUGGGAAUUCCUCUUUACUCUUCGGUUGCUGACUCUUGUUCUCCCAACGGGUGGAGACUUUCCUCAGCUAGGACCAGAGACUCAUCUCAUUUAGCUAUCCGCAACACCAUUACUGAGUUAUCCAUCCCGCACCAAGAUCAGGGUGGAGACGUGUUUCUUUGGGGUGUAGAAGGUUCAAGAAGAGAUUAUUUCUGUACCAGCAAAACUUGGCAUAUUCUGAGGCUUAAGGAGGAUAUAAAACGUUGGUUGAAAGCUGUGUGGUUCAAGAGAGCCACUCUGAAGCAUGCUUUCACCUUUUGGACGGCAAACUAAGACAGGUUACCACUGAAAACAAAGCUUGUGAGCUGGGGAAUUAAUAUCUCUCCAACAUGCUGCCUUUGUGACAUGGAGGAAGAGACUAGAGACCAUUUGUUUCUACACUGUCCAUUUUCUGAAGCAGUUUUGACCAUGGGGAUUCGGCGACUCGAAUUUUUUUGGAGUCUCAUUCUCUAAUUGGCAGUCCAUGAUCAACUGGAUGCUUCAACGAACACCAAGACUCUCCUCUACCCUGAAGAAGAUCCCAGGCGACAAUUUACUUGUUAUGGCGUGAACGAAACCAGAUAAUACAUGAUGGUCCUCUAUCUUCUGAAAACCAUCUCUUCGAUUAGUUGGAUAGACUGAUUAGAGACACAUUGUUGGCACACAAUCCCAGCGUAACUAUAGGGGUCUUCUAUCUCUUUGGUUUAAGAGCCACUAGUUCUUCAAGCUCGAUUGUAAUUCUACUAAAAUGAUCUGUUUCCAAGCCUUUUUCCUUUUUUUAGGCUUUUGAAACAGUGGCUGAGAGAUUUAUAGAAUAGCAGCGGAUUAAGCAAGAAUAUAGAGAGAUUUAGGUGAGAUUAAUGAAAAACUAAAGAAAAGAAGAGAGAAUCAAGAGAUUUAGAGAAAAAGAUAUGUAUUCUCAUUUUCUUAGAUCUAUAGAAAGCUGCUACAUGUGUUUAAGUAGGAAGACAAAGAAAACCCUAACACAUAUGGGCUUACUAAAUACCUUAUAAAGUUUUAUAAAGUUUAUAAAAUCUUAUAAAGUCUUAUAAAGUCUUUUAAAGUUUUCUAAUUGGAUUCCCACCAGAAAAGCUGAGAAUGAUCCAUCUUGUUUAACAGUGGCUAAUGUAAUAUACAAUAUAAUUCAAAUUUUAUUUUAAAAAAUAUAAGUUGCUUCUUUUGUGGGCAAAAAACAGGUCAUACAAAAGCUCGUCGUUAGUCUUUACAAGUUUCAGAGGACAGUAAUAUAUAAAAUCAUCAAAUUAUAUCGAAAACCCAUUGAGAUACACAAAAGCGUGUGUUCAAGAGGAAAGAAUUGUACAAGAAUAAUCUAUAACAUGUUGCAUCUAAUUGUGUCGAUGUUACAUGGGAUCUUCUUCGUCCAUCUACUAUAGUCAUAACAGGAUGUUAAAGCAAGACUUAAAGAUGAUGGAUCCGAGUCUGAAGUUACAGAAACGUGGAUUAAGCAAUAAAUUGGAGAUGAUGAAAAUAAGUUAUGCCCAAAGUAGCUUAUGAUGUGGAAGUGGGUUUUGUUUUUUUUUUGCGAAUCCUAAAAGAUUAUUGUGUUGUGCUGAUUCUACGUUAGUCUUAGAAGAAUGGAGUGUGUAAAAUAGAGAAAAUUUUAUAAAAGAAGUAACGUUCAUAUGUAGAAAAGCAUGCUUUUGAAUGAAUAAUGACUUGGUUUAUUUUUCUGUUGAAAGAAAAAAAAAUUAUUUAAUAUUUCAAAACGAGUGUAAAAGUGGAAUACUUUCUCGCGACAGAAAAAAUAUUCACUGCUGGUGAUCUAAAUGACGAUCCCAAAUAGACAAAUAAUAUUAGAAAUCUAUCUAUACACUAUUAUUUGCGAGGUUAAAAAUUUUAGGUGUCGUUCCCACAACAAUUGUUCUACAUGGCAUUAAUGAAAAAAUAUUAUUUAUCGUUUUAAUUUGUUUUGAUAAAUCGAUCAUUAAUCCUACGUGUAAAAACUUGUGACUUGGCUUUUUUCUUCGAUAAUGGGCUACAGAAUUUGUUCAUGGGCCAGCGAUUUUGUUUUCACUCAUAGCCACCGAUUCUGGUAAUAGGGCACCAACGUCGAAACCCUAAACUCUAAAGCAUAUAUCCUACUAUAUAUACAUGUAUUAUCUACAUAUAUUUUUACAUACAACAACCGUCUUCAAGGUCUAGCAAUUUUUACAAAACUCGUCCACCUCUAUUACACGAAUACAUCUUUUUUAUAUCCCAAUCUGGUUUAAAAUAUAUCGUUUGUUUAGUUGGUUGUUCUUCCAUGCUAACCUUUGAAUCGUUUUGUUCUGAUCGAGAUUCUUUUAUGCUAACCAGUCAAAUAUCUAUGUUUUUUCUCUAUCAUGUUCUAUAUUACUAUGCAUCACAACUAUCUUAUUUUUUAACCCCUGUUUUACUCUCUAUGCGAUUGGUCAUCGAGAUAUCAUAUUUGUGUUCUUUCUUUUGCUUUGUAAUUCUAUAUAUAAAAUUCGAUGCUUCAGUAUUAGAUAUUCAUGUUUCUCUUUAUUAAAUUUUUCUUAUGGUUAUAUUUGAUAUUAUUCGUAAAUCUAAAUUGACCUGAGCUUCUUUAUUGUUUUCCUUGAACCUAGAGUUCAUCGUGCAAACUAUAUGUGAUUGGUUCAAACUUUUGCAAUCAUAUCUUCAAAUGAAUCUAACAUGUAAUUGUAAAUAAAUCAUUAGUACUUUUUUUGUCAACAACUUAUUAGGACUUCUAAUUUUCUUAAUUGAUAUUCGUAAACUCUCUAAUUUAUUAUUUUGAUAUUCUUAGAAGGAUCAAAACCAUAGAAAUGAGUUUUUUUGUGUGUAUAAUUCAUGUUUUAGUUUAGGUUUGUAUUAAUUUUUCUGGUAACAUAUUGUGAAUGAAUGUUAUUUAUUGUUUGAUUGUUUGAUUGUUCUUUGUUUCUCCUUGGGUUCUACUUUACAUUUUCUUUAUAUUGUUGUUUAUGUUUAUUUUUAUUUCUAAAUAUAAUUUAUGGUUUUCGUGGUAGCUUUUGUGGACAAGUAAAAAAAAAAAAGAGUAACCAGUUCAGAUUAAUUUUGGUUUCAUAGUUUACUAAAGAUAUGUAACAUGAACAAAACGUCUAUUGUUUUAUAACAUUCCCAUUGUUUUCUACCCAAAGGCAAUUAUGUUGGUUCUGGAAAAAAUGUUUUAUAGUUUUGAUUUUUACCCAACACAUUCUUUUAUCAGAAAAACAUUAAAUUACUCUCAAGAUUAAACUUAUCAGGCAUUAAAGCAAUAUCUUUGUUGGUAAGUCGAUGAAUGAGAAUGUGAUGUCUCAUAACUUCAAAGAGCAAAGGAAAAAUAAGUGACAACGAGACUAGAUUCGGUGUGAGUAGAAUCUUUACGCAUGUUAAGUACUUGUUGAUAUACAACAAUCGUAUUGAGAACAGAGUGCAAACCAAUUGCAAAUUGCACCAUCCAAUUGGUGUUAAAUUAUAUUAUGGUUAAUCCCUGACCCAUUUCUUAGUUUCAUCAUUUGUUAAUGAAUCAUCAGUUUUUUUUAACCCCUGAUGAGAGAUAAAAUCAGCUGAAGGAAGGAGAGUCACCAAUACAGAGAAAGAAGAAUUUUUGCUAUAAAAUAUUCAGGUCUUAAUUUUCAUCAUCCUUGUAAUUUGUUUCAGCUUGCUAAAACUACUUUUUUAGUGUUGCAGACUUCAUCAGAAUACCUAAUAAAUUGAUGAUUCUCUGACACCAGAAUCUAAGAAAUAUACUCACACGUGAUAAACUGAAAUUUUUGUGAAUUGCAGAAUGAACAUACUCACACGUUGCAUUUCUCAUAUGUUUUGAUGUCUAACAAGUAAUUCUUGUGUCAUAUAGCUUUGUUGCUUUAAAAUUUUAGUUUUUGAAUUGAAUUUAUCUUAAAACAAUCCAUCCUUUGAUUGCUUCUCUAAAACCAAAAUCUUACAAGACAAAGCUUAUAUUGUAUCUUCGAAGAAGGUUGAAGAAUGAGAUGAAAUCUCGAGUAUGUUUCUAUGUUCAAAAAACUCAAAUCAGAUUGUUAUGUGUUUCUGAAGUUCACUGGUUUAGUACUUGAACACGAGCAAACAGAGAUUGAACACUCAUACAUUGAGUUGGACAAUACUAAAACGGGUCGGAAUCCCUUACUGAAAUGCGUGAGGAAAACACAGAAGCUAAAGAAAAUAAUGGAUGAAAUGAAAAAAGAUAGUUGGGUGGCAAAUAAAUGUGUGAUUGAUAUGAAAAAUUGGAAAAAAGAGAUGACGAAGACUUGAAGGUAAUGAAGAGAACAAAAUUGAGAAGGAGAAGUUGAGGAGAUAAGGCUAAAGCUAUAUUGUAGAAUUUAUCAUUAAUUUAAAGAGAAGAAGAAGACGAAAAAGAAGGGAAAACCUAAGGAGAUAUAAGUUAUGAAUAUAGAGAGGGAGGUAUGGAGAGAGAGAGAGAGAUGGAGAAAGAAGGAGAGAGAGGGAGAUACAGAGAGAGGGGGAGAUACAAAGAGAGGGGGAGAGACAGCGCGAUGGAGAGAGAGGGGGAGUGAGGAGAUACAAAAAGAGAGGGAGAAGGAAGGAGGGAGAUAGAGACAGACAGAGAGAGAGAUGAAAACAUUGUAUGUGCAAGUAAACAAAUCAGAAUAUGAAAACAAGAGAAAAUAUGAAUCAGAAUAAUAAUCAUUCUGAAAAUAUGAAUACAAUGAAGACUGAGAAGCAGUGAAAAGACAAAGAAAAUCAAAAUAAAAUGUCGGGAGACUAGAUGAUGAUGAAGAAAAGGAUGAGGGAUAGGAAGACUGAAAGAUAUGUAAGAGGAAGAAGAAGAAGAAGUAGAAGUAGAAGUCAAAGACGAUGAAGAAAAAGAAGGAAAAAACAAGGAAGAAAAAACUCCGAAAGAUGAAUAAGAGGAAGAAGAGAAAAAUGAAUUCAAUGGAAAGAAGAAGAAUAAAAAUUCGAAGAGAAAGAAGAAAAAUACAUUGAAAUGGGAUAAAAAAGAAGAAUACGAGUAAACCCGGAAAAAAAAUUUCAGGGGAAAGAAUUGAUCAAACACAUCAAAAAAGAGUAAGAAAAAUACGAAGAAGAAAAAAAUAAAAGAUAAGGAAUAUGAAGAAGAGUUGAACAAAGAAGGAGAAAACAAAGAAGAAGACAAAUAAGAAGAGAAAGAAGAAGUAGAAAUAAAAAGAUGAGGAAUAAGAAAAGCGAAAAAUAAAUAAGAAAAAGAAGAAGAAAAGGCAAAGGCGAUAAAAAAUAAUUUCAUUUUAUACAUGAUUCUUCUGAUUGUUUAUAUGUAUUGUAACUAUCUAAGCUUUUGGCUAUAACUGGUCAUUGGUUUUUGUUGUCUUACAGUGUAUAGGUACUUCCUCUCUUCCCUUGUAUAUUUGUACGUGAUUAUCGUGACAUUUCUACGUAGGUAUUAGAGUAUUGAUACUUACGAUCUAAUUACACAUAUAUUGGAUGGUUGGAAGACAAUGAAGAAAAAUAAUAAAAAAAAAGAUGAUAAAGAAGAACAACCAAAAGAUAAAGAAGAAGAAAAAGAAGAAAACGAAUAACCAUUAUGUGGAAAUGAAAAAUUCGUAUUUGUAUUAGUUUAGUUUGUUUGUAAGUUUUAUACAUUUAUUUAGUAUUGCAUUUUGGGUGUUUCAUUUUAUGGAUUUGUUUUAUUUUGGUCAUAUUAAGUCACAAUUGUUUUGAUUUUCUUGAUUCACAUAAUAUAAAGUUUUGUUUUACAAUUUUAAAUCUCUCAAAGGUCCGCGCAAGGAGCUGACAAGACACCUAGUUUUAAUUUAAAUAAAAACAGAUUUUAUUUGAAUUCAAAAUGAUUAUUGGUAAGCCGGUGAUCACUUUGUAUUUUAAAACUUAAAAUUUUUUUUUAAGUUAAUACUCUUCUUCCCUAAAUAUUAAAAAAAGAAUGGGCAUUAUGACAAUCUUACUUUGUCUUGUAAAGAAAAAACUUAUGUUUUUCCUAACUCGAACGUUACAUCAUUAAUCGAAAUUAAAAUGUUCGACCUGAUAAAGAUACAUUCCAAACACGAGAAGCAAACGUAGCUGCGUAUCUUCUAUCAUAGCUGUAUCAAGUAUUGAGUAUGGUAAUCGAUUUGUAUUAUUGAUGAAGUAUAGUCACAAUAUAUACAAGAGGAGAGGCCAAUAUACAACGGUAAUCUACAUUAACUAUAUGAGCGAUUAUAGGAGAUGAUUAUAGGAUAUGAUGAGAUAUGAGGAAUAUGUGUUUCCAUAUUCUAUCACACCCACUCAAGAUGGACGGCCUGGUGAGAGUCUGAUCUUGACAAAAAGAGUUUGUAAUCGAGCUCGGGAGAGUGGUGUCGUGAGAGCAUCAGCCAACUGAUCCGGAGAUGUGACAUGAGUAACUCGCAGCUGGCCAGGCUGAACAAACUGGCGUACGAAAUGGUAGUCUAAAGCGAUAUACUUCAUCCUAGAAUGAAAAACAGAGUCUAUUGCUGCCAAAUAUGUAGCUCCUAUGUUGUCAGAAUAAAUGACUGGAGUGGAGGUGACAUUGAGGCCCAAUUCUGAUAGGAGAGAUGAAAUCCAGCAAACUUCAGCAGUGCUAGACGCGACUGAGGUAUUCAGCUUCGGUAGAAGAGCGAGAGACCCCAGUUUGUUUCUUCGAGGACCGAGCAAUGGGAUGACUUCCGAAGUAGACAAUAUAAGCAUUUGUGGAUGUGUAGUCGUCUUUGUUACCCACUCAAUCAGCAUCGGUGAAGGCAUGCAGAUCUGGUUUGUUGUUCGCUCGUAGAUAGAUGCCGUGAGAUAUAGUACCAGAGAGGUAGCGCAGGAUUCUUUUUACGGCAGUCCAAUGUUCAGUGGUCGGACGAUGCAUGAACUGAGAUAGUUUGUUAACAGAGAACAAGAUAUCAGGCCUAGUAAGGGAGAGAUAUUGAAGACUCCCCACAAUAAUUUGGUAUUCUGUUGCAUCAUCUAAGGCAGUACCGGAGAGAAGAGUGAGCGAUGAGUUGGCUUCCAUUGGUGUUGAGACAUGUUUAGCAUUGGUCAUGUUGGCCUUGUGCAUUAAAUCUGCAAUAUAACGACGUUGUGUUAGGUGUAGUCCAUCUUUCGUACGAGUUACCUUAAUACCUAAAAAUAAGAUAAAUCACCUAAGUCUUUAAGGGAGAAACGUUGAGAAAGGGAAGCGAUAAACCGAGAAAUAUGAGAGGAACUGUUGCCAGUGAUUAUGAUUUCGUCGACAUAAACAAGCAUGUAGAGAAGAAUGUCGUUCUGCUUAUAUAUGAACAGAGAGGCAUCAGCGACAGAGUUUGUGAAGCUGGAUUGAGGGAGAAACGUGCACAGCUCAUUGUACCAAGCUCUUGGAGCUUGUUUAAGGCCGUAGAUGGCUUUAUGGAGUUUGCAUAUUGCUUGUGGAUUUUCUUUGUCUUGGAAACCAGGCGGUUGGAUCAUAUAAACUUCAUUUUGAAAAUGUCCUUGUAAGAAGGCAUUGUUGACGUCAAGUUAUCGCAUCGACCAAUUCCGUGAAAAAGCUGUUGCGUCUACCACUGCUGAAGUUUGCUGGAUUUCGUCUCUCCUAUCAGAAUUGGGCAUCGAUGUCACAUCCACUCUAGUCAUUUAUUGUAACAACAUAGGAGCUACAUAUUUGGCAGCAAACCCUAUUUUUCAUUCUAGGAUGAAGCAUAUCGCUUUAGACUACCAUCUCGCACGUCAGUUUGUUCAGUCUGGUCAGCUGUGGGUUACUCAUGUCACAUCUGCGGAUCAGUUGGCUGAUGCUCUCAUGAAACCACUCUCCCAAGCUCGAUUCCAUACUCUUUCUAUCAAGAUCGGACUCUCACCAGGCCAUCCAUCUUGAGGGAGUGUGAUAGAAUAUGAAAACACAUAUUCCUCAUAUCUCGUCAUAUCCUAUAAUCAUCUCCUAUAAUCGCUCAUAUAGUUAAUGUAGAUUAACGUUGUAUAUUGGCCUCUCCUCUUGUAUACAUUGUGACUAUACUUCAUCAAUAAUACAUAUCGAUUACCAUACUCAAUACUUGAUACAGCUAUGAUAGAAGAUCAGCAGUUACGUUUGCUUCUCGUGUUUGGAAUGUAAUCUUUAUCAGGUUGAACAUUUUAAUUUCGAUUAAUGAUGUAACGUUCGAGUUAGGAAAAACAUAAGUUUUUUCUUUACAAGACAAAUUAAGAUUGUCAUUAUGCCCGUUCUUCUUUAAAUAUUUAGGGAAGGAGAGUAUUAACUUACUCAAACUCGAAAGGAAAAGCAAUGGUGUAGUAUAGGAGUAUCCAUUAACGAUCUGUAACGAACAUUACUAAACGACUCAUGUUUCAAAUGAAGAAAAUUAUAAUUUACUAACAAUUAUUUUGGGUAUAUCUUACGGUCUUACAUGGUGUUUAAAACUCUCUUAUCCUAAGAUAUAACAACAAAAUACCAUAUUCGUAUUCAUUUAGUAUAAUCUUUUUUUUUUCCUUACUUUACCGUUACAUCAUUCAAGCAAACAACACCUUUUGAUCAACACAAUAAUAGAACACACAAAUGAAUUACAGAACGUGAGUAGUGUUAAAAAGAGAAAAUUUUACUUGACAACAAAUCAAAUGAGAAUUUUCACACAAAAACAAGAAAAAAAAAAGAGAGAAAACUUAUUACCCUGAAAUUGAAUAUUCUAUUUUCAGAGAAAUAUGAAACACUCUACGCAACAAGCGGGUUCUCUAACAAUUCCUCAGUGGUAUAACCGUAAUUCUGAUACUGUUGCUGAUCCGACCCGUUUUUGCUCGGAUCUAGCCUAACCCGAGCCGGAGGCUGAUUGUUUUUCAUAGUCCCUGCCCCACCCACCCGACUCUGAUUCGAAUCCAUCAUGGAUCUGUUCGUUGCCGGUGAUCUCGUCCUUCUUCCGGAUCUCUCACCAUUACACGUACCCGAACCGAAUCUCGCUCCAUUACACGUACCGGUGUUUCUCUUACGAGGAGAUUGAUCGGUUCUUCUUCGGGUCGGGUAAUUAUUCCCUGUGACCCGGGUCCAAGAUUUAGCCGGAGAUCUCUGAGACAUGACUAUAAACCACCUCGACCUCACGAAGAUUCGCCAUACUCACCAGCAAUGGCUUUUCUUCAAAACCGAGAAUACACAGAUAAUUGAUGCAGUUAGCCAACCUUGGAUCGCCUAUGUGGAGUAGUUGUCGUUUUGGUGUCUAAGUCGUUUCUUAAUGGGCUUGCGACAUCAGGUGGGCUUCUACGUUUUACAAGUCUCGACUAAAAACAAGAGCUGGGCCUUACGGGAAAAUUGGCCCGAGCUCAAGGUUGUUAAAAACAAUCAUCGUUGACCAAGUCUUCGUCUUCUACAAUUGGAAUAACAGAACAGAGAGAGAGCGAAUUCUACAGAGUUCUAGAGAGAGAAAGUUUUCUUCUCGGUGAUCGGAGUUACAGCGAUCGGGUUGGUCGAUCUCGGAGGUCUCUGCGUCGAUUCUUUUCCAAGAGUUUUCCCUGCAAAUAGCUGUAGAAAGAUUCAGCAAAAGGUUCACUUGUAUAUCUGUUCUAAACGUUGAUAUAGUGAACGCAUGGUAGUUUAGUUCUACCCCCAGACGUACCGCGAGGGAACUGGGUUAACAAGUUUGCCUGUGUCAUUAGUCUAGAUUCUUCCGCAAGAACACCUUAGUUGAAUCUAGCUCAAUCGAAUUGAUCAAGCUUUUGGGACUAAGAAAUUGAUUCUAGUGUUAGUCGGAUUUCUUAACAAAGUGGUAUCAGAGCAUAGGCUUAUAGAUCGCCGGAGGGAUUACGGUUAAGUGAUCAGGGGGCGAUCUUGGAUCUGAGUUCGAUUGGUUAUCUUUGAAAUUCCUGAAGUCAGUCGAGUUUCUUCUUGGACCAAGUUAUUACUGCAUUCUUUUGGUCUUGGCUCAAGAACAGGAAAGAUGGAAGCAGUUAAGAAGUUUGAGAUGGAGAAGUUUGAUGGCAAAGGUGAUUUCGGUAUGUGGAAGUUUCGCAUGUUGAUGCAACUUGAGUUGCAAGGUUUUGGGAAACAAGUAAAGGAAAUCACAGGAGAGGUUAAGGAUGACACAAAAGGCAAGGACUUAGAAGAAGUGGACUCUGAAACAGGUGUGGCGUUAACUCCGGACCAGAUCAUAGAAAGAGAUGUGAGAAUCCGGAAUCUCAUAUGCUCAAGCUUAACAUCAAUGGUCCUCAGAAAAGUCAUGAAGGAAACGACAGCAGCUGGUGUGUGGAAAGCCUUAGAGGCUGAUUAUCAGACGAAGACUCUACCUAACAGAAUCUAUCUCAAGCAACGGUUUGCAAGUUACAGGAUGGACAAGAAUAAAUCAAUAGAUGAAAACAUGGAUGGUUUCUUGAGACUGGUUGAUGAGUUGGAAAGUUUGAAUAUCCAGAUAAGCGAUGAAGAUUAAGCCAUUCAAGUGUUGUCCGGGUUGCCCGAACAGUAUGCUUCUUUGGUGCACACAUUGAAGUAUGGAAACAAAGGCAAGGAUACCCUGACACUAGCUGAAGUGGUGCAAUCAGCUCACGCAAAGGAGGUGGAGCUUCGUGAGUCUGGUCUCUUGAAUAAGUCAAACCACACAUCAGAAGGGUUAUACGCGGGUCAAGGAAAGUCUGUAAAGAAAAGCAAAGGAAAGUUUGCUGGGGGAAAACAGAAGUCUGGGAAAUCAAAGAAGGAUUCCCAGGGAGGACAAGUCAAAGCACGAGAGUGCUGGGUGUGUGGCAAGGAAGGUCAUUUUAAGAAAGACUGUCCACAAAAGAAAACUCAGGCAUCCUCAAGCUCAGCAAAUUUGGCUCAAGAAAGUGAGAAACCAAUGAUUCUCACGGCGAGCACAAAAUAUGCUAAAGACGAGUGGGUGCUGGAUUCAGGGUGUACGUUUCACAUCACACCAGAAAAGGAUCUACUAUUUGAUCUCACGGAAUUUAAUGGAGGAAAAGUGUUAAUGGGAAAUAACACAUUUAGUGAGAUCAAAGGUAUAGGAAAACUGAAGAUUGUUAAUCCAAGCAAUUCAACAGUUGUUCUAACUGAGGUAAGAUACAUGCCAUCAAUGGGCAGAAAUCUGAUUUCCUACGGACAGUUGGAAAAGGAAGGAUGUUCUUAUGAAGGGAAAGAUUUCACGGUCACAUUCAAAAAGGAUGGGAAGAAUGUUCUUACUGGAAAGUAUAAAGACGGGCUCUACUACUUACAAGGGUCAGUAGUUGAAGGAGAGGUGGAUACAGUUUCUAGAGCUGCGGUUAAUCUGACAAACAGGUGGCAUUCCAGGUUGGGGCACAUGAGCUUAAAGAAUAUGAAUCAGUUGGUUAAAGAUGGUUAUCUUAACAAAAAGGAAGUUCAUACUCUGGAUUUUUGUGAAGAAUGUGUUCUUGGGAAAGCACACAAGUUAAGUUUUCCAACAGGCAAGCAUACAUCAACCGUGAACUUAGAAUAUGUUCACAGUGAUCUUUGGGGAUCUGCAGCGAAUUCUGAGAGCUUAUCAGGCUGUAAAUAUUUCUUGACCAUCAUUGAUGACUAUUCCCGAAAGGUCUGGAUCAGAUUUCUAAGGAGUAAAGAUGAAGUGUUUGGAAAUUUUUCAGAAUGGAAGCUCUUGGUGGAAAAUCAGACGGGUAAAAAGAUCAAGUGUCUCAGGACGGAUAAUGGGUUGGAAUUUUUCAAUGUUCAAAUGGACAAGAUAUGCAAGGACUCAGGAAUAAAGAGGCAUAGGACCUGUACCUAUACUCCACAGCAAAAUGGGGUUUCAGAAAGGAUGAACAGGACCAUUGCUGAUAAGGUUAGGUGUAUGUUAGCGGAAUCUGGAUUGGAGAAAAAGUUUUGGGCAGAAGCAGCAUCUACAGCAGUAUAUCUCAUCAACAGGACACCUAAUGCAUCACUUAAGUUCAAGAUACCAGAAGAGUUGUGGUCAGGGACAAAAAUCGGAUAUGAUCAUCUCAGAAGGUUCGGGUGUAUAGCUUAUGUUCAUACUAUUCAAGACAAGAUCAGUCCUCGGGCUUUAAAAGGUAUUUUUAUGGGGUAUCCUCAUGGAACCAAGAGUUACAGGAUCUGGUUGUUAGAAGAACAAAAGACUACAAUCAGCCGAAAUGUUAUCUUUGAUGAAUCCAGGGUGUAUAAGGAUUUGGGGAAAAAUGAAGAAGAAAGCCUUGAACUUAGUGAAAAGGUUGUCAUUAACCCAAAGACUAAGAAGGUCCCAGGCUCAAGGGUCACAAGAGUAAACAGAGCAGGCUCAUCUGGAAGGAGACGAUCUACGGUUCAAGGUGGAGCUGUUUCAGUUGAGUCAGAAGAUUCAGAUACCGAAGAAAAUGGGUCUGAGGGUGAUCAAGAAGAUGGUUCUGAACAGGAAAAUGCAGGGGUGGAAGAAAAUCUAGAUAACUAUAUCUUAGCUAGGGACAGAGAAAGAAGAACGAUUCGUCCCCCAGCAAUGUUUGAAAGUGGGGACUAUGUUGCUUAUGCCCUAGCAAGUGCAGAAUUGAUUGAACCUCAAGAACCGAGAACUGUUUCAGAAGCGAGAAGAAGUAAAGAGUGGAAACAGUGGAAUGAGGCCAUGGUAGAGGAGAAGCAAUCUCUUGAUAAAAAUCACACAUGGGACAUUGUGGAUAGACCUCAGAAAAAGAAGAUCGUUGGUUCGAAAUGGAUUUUCAAAUUGAAAGAGGGAAUUCCAGGAGUUGAACCACCUAGAUACAAAGCAAGACUUGUAGCUAAGGGAUUCACUCAGGUGGAAGGAAUAGACUACAACGAGAUCUUCUCUCCAGUAGUGAAACAUGUCUCGAUAAGGAUAAUGCUAUCAGUGGUUGUGAAUUUCGAUAUGGAACUCGAGCAACUAGACGUGAAGACUGCAUUCCUUAAUGGUAAACUAGAUGAAACUAUUUACAUGGAACAACCAGAGGGUUUUAUCGAGAAAGGAAAUGAAGGAAAGGUAUGUCUGUUGAAGCGGUCUCUUUAUGGUUUAAAACAGUCGCCGAGACAGUGGAAUCACAGGUUCAAUGAGUUCAUUCAGUCACAAGGUUUUAAGAGAAGUGUGAAGGAUCCAUGCGUGUAUUACAAAGGUUCAGUUGUGGAGGAUAGUGUCUACUUGUUAUUAUAUGUUGAUGACAUGUUAAUAGCAGCUAGAGACAUGGUGAAGAUCAGGGCACUAAAGAAGAGUUUGAGUGCAGAAUUUGAAAUGAAGGAUCUUGGAGCAGCUAACAGAAUUUUGGGAAUGGAGAUCAUAAGAGACAGGAAAAAGGGAAUUCUGAAGCUUUCACAGGCAAGAUACAUAAGUCAAGUUUUAAGGACGUUUAACAUGAAAGAAAGUAAGCCUGUUGUCACGCCAAUAAACUCAUUGUUCAAACUUAGAAGUUUAUCAGAGGAGGAGUUAAGGGUUGAAGCUUCUCUAAUGGAAUCAGUUCCCUAUGCAAGUGCAGUGGGAAGUCUGAUGUAUGCCAUGAUUGGGUCAAGACCGGAUUUGGGUUAUGCAGUUUGUUUGGUGAGUCGGUUUAUGGCAAAGCCAGGAAGGAAUCAUUGGGCUGCUGUUAAAUGGGUUUUGAGGUAUCUUCGGGGAGCUACAGAUUUAAGUUUGACUUUCUCAAGGGCUGAUUCAAUGGAAAUUGAAGGUUUCAGUGAUUCAGAUUAUGCUACUGAUCUUGACAGAAGAAGAUCAGUAACAGGUUAUGUUUUUCAGGUUGGAGGAAAUACUGUUAGUUGGAGGUCCACAUUGCAGCAUGUAGUGGCUUUGUCCACCACAGAGGCUGAAUAUAUGGCCAUGUCAGAAGCAACUAAGGAAGGUUUAUGGUUAAGGGAAUUUUGCAACGAGUUGGGGUUUAAUUUUGAGUAUUUUAAGCUACAUAGCGACUCUCAGAGUGCUAUCAAUUUGGCUAAAAAUGCAGUUCAUCAUGACAGGACAAAGCACGUUGCUACCAAGAUUCAUUUUAUCCGAGACAUCCUAGAUGAAGGGCUAAUCCGCAUUGUUAAAGUUCACACUACUCUAAAUCCGGCAGAUAUGUUGACUAAGAGUUUACCUGGAAAUUCUUUCGAGAAGUGCCUCGUAACUCUCAAAGUCGUCGCCUGAUCGUCUACAGGCGUACUCGUUGAUGGCUCUGUUGGUUGGGCCAUCUCGCACGAGAAAUAAGGAGGAACAGGGUUAGUUUCUCGGUGGAAAAGAUUAAACCAACAAAGUUCAGAAGGUAAAUUCUGAGGUAUCUGGUAAAAGAUAAACAGGAGAAGAGUUUUGGUGUACAUGCAUGUGUUGAGGGGACUUACUUAGCACAAGGAGGAAGCGCAUCGUACUCUUGCAUCUCGGCCUGAGCUGUUUUUUCUCGGGAUAAGGAGAAGUCACGGCGAAGAAGAGAUAGAAGUUAGUAUAACUUCGUGUUUCUAAUUCUAAGAUCUGAAGAGAAGUUCAGAGGUCACUUACUUAGAGGAGAACUGAAGUCGAUUGGAGCUGGAGGCGGCGGUAAGGUCAGCGACGGUGAGGUCGGAGGAACCAAGGUCGUGAGCAGGAUCGAUUCAGGAGGUGUUUGCGGUGGAGUAGCUGGAGGAGUCAAAGGAGGUGACUCCAUAACCUAAGUCGCUGUUGAGUCGGCUAGGGUUGGUGAAGAGACAAGACAACGACAAAGGUGGAGAUUUGUGGAGUAGUUGUCGUUUUGGUGUCUAAGUCGUUUCUUAAUGGGCUUGCGACAUCAGGUGGGCUUCUACGUUUUACAAGUCUCGACUAAAAACAAGAGGAGCUGGGCCUUACGGGAAAAUUGGCCCGAGCUCAAGGUUGUUAAAAACAAUCAUCGUUGACCAAGUCUUCGUCUUCUACAAUUGGAAUAACAGAACAGAGAGAGAGCAAAUUCUACAGAGUUCUAGAGAGAGAAAGUUUUCUUCUCGGUGAUCGGAGUUACAGCGAUCGGGUUGGUCGAUCUCGGAGGUCUCUGCGUCGGUUCUUUUCCAAGAGUUUUCCCUGCAAAUAGCUGUAGAAAGAUUCAGCAAAAGGUUCACUUGUAUAUCUGUUCUAAACGUUGAUAUAGUGAACGCAUGGUAGUUUAGUUCUACCCCCAGACGUACCGCGAGGGAACUGGGUUAACAAGUUUGCCUGUGUCAUUAGUCUAGAUUCUUCUUUCCGCAAGAACACCUUAAUUGAAUCUAGCUCAAUCGAAUUGAUCAAGCUUUUGGGACUAAGAAAUUGAUUCUAGUGUUAGUCGGAUUUCUUAACAGCCUAAUAUAUGCUUCAAACCCAACUCGGUAGAGAUCGUUUUGUCUAGAACUUGUAGAUACUCCAAGGGCUGCAGCUCCGUCAACAAGCUAACAUCUCCAUGAACUUUAGAAUCUUCUAGUUUCAAAAUUCUUAAACUCGACAGCUUUGAUAUCCCACUGAUAAUAUGAUUUAACUUCAGAUAAAUUAGCUUUUUCAUAUCUUGGAAACCAAGUGCCAGUUGCUCUAUACUUGUGUUCCACAAGUUAAGAUACUGCAACGAAGCCAGCUUCGAUAUCUGCUCAGGAAAUUCUUUGAAAUCGAAAUUAUCUGAUAGAUCCAAAACAACUAGCUUUUGCAUAGAGCCGAUGAAUUCACCUAGAAAUUUCUUCAAACUAUUAUUCUGGAGGAGCAGAGUUGUAAAGUGUUCUGAAGAGUUGUAAGUUCAGAACACUUGGAACCGCAUGUUAUCUCUUCAAUAUUAUUUUUCAGAAAUCCUUCUCAUAUCUCCCCAAUCCUUAAAUUUUGGCAUUUCGCAUCAUCUGACUCCUGCUUGUAUUAAGAGAUAUUAGAAGAUAUUAGGCUUAUUGGACGUUGUAUAGAUAAUUAUUAGAAUUAUUAGAGUAAUUUGUUGAUCUCCAACAGGUUUUGACUCAAAAACGUUUUGACACAACUGACUCUUAAGAAAAACAAACACAAUGUCAGCAACUACCUCCCCCAGACUUGAAUAACACUGUCCCCAGUGUUAUCUAGUCCGAAGGUGGCGAAACAAAAUAAAAGAAACAGAGAAACGCAGGAAAAACAGAGAACUUACCUGGCUGCAAUGAUGGUGUCGCGCGACACUGAUGAUGGUGUCGUGCGACACUUGUUUUCCUCGUACCGAAUUGCAGCAGACCAAUCCGAAUUUCUGGUUUGACUCCGGUUGCCUGAUUUCCUAAAUUUCUUUUUUUUUUUUUAAAUAGAAGCAAGUGACAAGCGACACCGAAGGUGGUGUCGCUCGACACUAACAUCUGCUUCACCUGAGACACGAAAAGAAAAACGAAAAUCAACUGAAACAAAAAGACUUAUGCACAGACUCACCAGUGGAUUGCCUUCCACCAAGCGCUUGUUUAAAGUCAUUAGCUUGACUAUGGAUAGACUAUGCAUCUGGUGGAUCAGACAGUGGCAAAGAGUGCCUCUGUGAAAUUCGUCUCAUCCAUGGUGGUGUGUAAGCGUUGUGCGCAUGAGGUCGUCCAAGGAAUGCAGGAAUAGCACCAGGGUGAGAUCUGUGUUUGGGUGGCCUUGACCUAUUCCCUGCAAUAUCAUCAAACGAAAAACCAAGUGCUCUACGAUAAUCUCGUAGCUUGCGUUGUGAGACAGAGCCUGCAUCCUUUGAAUCAGUUCCAAUGAUAUCACGAGAAUUAGGCUUAGGCUCAAGAGGUGCGUAUCUUUGCUUUGGUGGAGAUGGAUGGAGUGCAAUGUUUGGAGCUUCCUGAUCAACAGCAGUCACUGGUUCUGUGGACGUUUUCGUCAACUCAGAUUGAUCUCUCACCAUCUCAGCAUCAAACACGUUCUGAUCUCCAACUAUCACCUCAGGUAUUGCAGUGACUUGGAAUGUCUGACCAUCUAUGGUGGGAUCCUUCAGAUCUUCCCAGGAUAAGAGGAUCUUUGGGUUCCUCUCCAUAUUGCAGAACCACGAAAUCUGUAGGAAUUAUGCAAUCACCAACUUUGAUUGGAACAUCUUCCAAGACACCUUUUGGGAUUCUUUUAGACCGAUCUGCUAGGAUCAAAGAGAUCUUAGUUGGCUUGAAGUCAGUCAUCCCAAGGCUAACAGCUACAGAGUGUGGCAUGAGGUUGACACUCGAACCAAGAUCACACAGCGAUCUCUUGAACCUCUCUGAGAAGAUAGAGCAGUCCAAAACAAAACUUCCUGGGUCCGAGAGCUUUUCUGGAAUCUUAUUAUGAAUCACAGAACUGACAUGUUUAGAGAUCAUCAUCGCUCCUUCCUCAUGACCCACAUUAUUAGUCACCAUCUUCUUCACAUAGUGUCUGAGAGUAGGAGCAAUCUUCACAGCAUCAACCAAAGGAAUCUCAAUCACAAGCUUCUCCAUCAAAAACUUGCAUCUGGCAUCAUCUAGCUCCUGCUUGGACUUCCUAGGACUCCUUGGGUAAGGAACCUUAGGUUUGUAAACCUUUUCCUCAGCAGAUUUCGGACUUUGAGCAAUAUUAGCUUUGCUCUGCAAUUGGUGACGCGCGACACUGGUUGUGGUGUCGCUCGACACUGGCUCUGCAGUUUCGAAAUUUUUUUCAGAUUCGUCAAACUCCACGAUUUCAUCCUCAAAAACACCCUUUUUCAGCACAGGAGUCAACUUUUUACCACUCCUUGACGAGAUGGCACUGCAGUAAUGCCUAGGAUUGGUAUCAGUCUUCCCAGGAAGGAAUCUUUCUUGCCUUUUUACAGACUCUGCAGUCUGAGCAACCUGAGUAUCAAGCUUCUUGACAUGAGUGUUCAGAACUUCAAUUUUUCCAUUCAGAUCCAGAUAUAGAGCAUCAAUCUUCCCAUUGAAAUCCACAGUCAUCUUCUGCUGACCUUCCAAAAUCUGUUCCAGCAUAGACUUCACCUCAUUAUCUGGAGUUUGAGUAGGAAGAGAACCAUAGUUCCUUGAAAACCUGUUGUUGGAGUAGGAUGUCUGGUACUGAGGUUUGGAGCUGUAACCAGAAGAGUUCUGAUUACCUGUGAAGGUACUCCUCUGAUUAUUUCCAUUGUAAUUCGUGUUCCCUUGCCCAGAACCAAAUCUCUGACCCUGAAAUCCAGCUCCAUUGAUGAAGUUAACAUCCUCUUCCUCAAAAGCUUCAUCUGGUCCGAAAUUCUGAACUCCUGCAGGGUAUCUGACAGAUUUCUUACCCACAAGAAGACUAUGCACAGAGUCAAGCUUAGCCUUCACCUCAGCAAUUUGCGAUCCAUCCAGGUUCCCAGCCUGCUUCCUUCGCCGAUAGUCUGCAUUCUUGGUACUAUUGCUAGAUGCCAAGUUUUCGAUGAGCUCAACAGCUUCGUCUGGGUAUCUGGUGUUGAAGUUUCCAUUGCUCGCUGCAUCAAGAGCCAUCUGAUACCUCCAGUCGAUACCUCUAAAGAAAAUACCCAGCAACUGCACAUCGCUGAAGCCAUGAUGGGGACAGUCUCGCUGGUACGAUUUGAAUCGCACCCAGGAAGCUUUGAACGCUUCAGUUGGUUCCUGAGAGAAUGUCGAAAUUUUCGUCCUCAACUCCUCAGACCUAGCAUCAUCGAAGAAGUUGUGCAGGAAAGCAUUCCUGGUCUCUUCCCAAGUAGUGAGUGAUCCUGGCUCCAACUGCUUCAACCAGUUAGCUGCCUCUCCAGCAAGAGAGUAAGGAAACAGCUUGCAGAGGAGGAAAUCAUUGGACACUCCAUUGUAUUUGAUGCUGGUGACCAAGUCCUCAAACCUCUCGAUGUGAUCCAUAGGGUGCUCAUGAGAAAGACCAUGGAAAGGAUGCUGACCCACGAGAGUGUAAUACACAGGCUUGAGCUCAAAAUCAUUCCUCUGAAACGCAGGAGCGCGAAUCGCAGACCGAUUUGCAUAGAAUUGCUCAGGCCUGUUGUAGUCACCCAGCGUCCUGAUGAUGUUACCCUGUCCAUCAAGUCGCUGGCCUCUCUCAUUGCACACAUGACCCUCUCGGUCUCUCCAGAUUCUAUCAUCAUCACGAACAAGUCCAAUGGCGUUUUCCAUCAUUGCCGGAUCUCUUGCUUUCCUGUUCGUUCGCUCUAACUCAGCUAGCUCCUCGUUGCUCAAAUUAACUAGCGGGAUGUCCUUGUUGCUCCUGGUUCCACGAGUAUGCAUAAACCUGAAACACCAAAAACAAAGAGAGAAAACGAGAUAAGUAAACUAGGUUAUAAAAAGAAGGGUGUCGCGCGACACUAGGUCGAAAAACUUAGUCGAAACUCAAAAACUAGGUUCAAUGGCGAAAUCAAGUCCCCGGCAACGGCGCCAAAACUUGAUCUGCUCAAAGUUUAAUCCCUAGAGCUACUCUGCAAGAGCACAGAUGUGCAAUUGUAGUAUAAUAGGGGUCGAACCACAGAGACGAGAGAUCACUCAAUAAACCUUAUAGAGAUUGAAUUACGCUAAGCAGAAAUAUUGUAAAUAAAUAGCAAUGCAACAGAAUUAGACUAAGCAGCAAUAAAAACGGUUUGUAAGAUUCAGAUGGAUGGAGAUUAGGCUUAGGGCGUUUCUCAGGAAAUCAAUGCAUGCAGAACAAUCGAUAAAUUAGGGUUCAGGUUUAAGCACGGUUCUUGAACUCGAAUCACAGAAUUAUAAUUAACCAACUUCCGUUGUGAGAAUUAUCUAAGUUAAAAUCCUAGAAUUCCAAAUUCCUUUGCAAACCCUAAAGAUUUAAACCAGCUUUAAUGCUCAAGUUCGAUAUGUUCACAAAGUAUCUAAACCAAAUUCCUUUGCGAAUAGCUACUUUGCUCACCCUAGGUUCUUUCCAGUUAUUCAAUUACACUUCCGUGUCAAUUAAGCAACCUAAGAUCUAAGUGCUAGGUGGCCAAUCCAGAAUUAGCUUUAAGAACAACCUAUGGUGAAGAACUAAAUAGAUUAUGAACCCUAACUAACCAAUCAAUCUAACAUCCAAUGAAAUCCUUUAUGAGAACCCUAAACCUAACAAGCAAACUACUCAGACAUGGAGAUUGAAGCAAUAAGCAUCAAUGAAUAGAUUGCAGAAAACAGUAAAUAGAUUAAUAAACAGGGGUUCGAAAUCUUCUCUCUCCGGAACAGAGUUUCAGACUUGUCUCCCCAAAAACUCUCAAAAACAAAAACUCUCUCUAAGAAAAUCUAAGGUAAUCGUAAAAAGGGAAUAAAAGCCCUAUAUAUAUCUCUAAGACACGUUUUGGGCUUCCUUGAAAACGUUUGGGCCCAACUCCUUCUUCAAAUAGGAAACAAAAUCACGUUUUCCUUAUUUCUGCAACAAGUGUCGCGCGUCACUCUCCAUGGUGUCGAGCGUCACUAAAGCACAAAAUCCAUACUUGACGAAUUUGAUCCUGAUUAAGCUCCAAAGUGCUCCAAAGUCUCCAGUUAAGCUCCAAACGUACCUAUGACCUGAAAAGACUCCAAAAGACUCGAAAGACACUAAAAAGACUCUAUAAAUAAGACUUAUACCAUGGUUAAAAACCAUAAAAACCAUGAUAUAUCAUUUGUCUCACAUUGCUAGUUUUUAACUCAAGGUUGACUAAUGUACGUAUUUUUAGGCAGAUGAAUAAAUCACUUCCGCAAAUUACUUUGACAUGGUAUCAGAGCCUAAGACUACAUAAAAUUUUGGUCUAGCUCUUGAAUCAGAGCCUAAGGCUACAUAAAGUUUUGGUCUAGCUCUUGAUUCAAAUUCUUGUUUAUAAGUUGUGGUUUAUUGGAAAAGCAAACCGACGAGGUCUUGCUCUUUUAUUUUUGGUGAACUCGGACCAACGAGGUUCGGGAUUUCUGUAAAGCCAUAAGGGCUUGGAAUUUUUUUAUUCGGUGGAGAAACCUUGGGAAUUUCUCUGUUUUUUAGAAAAUAUGAGAUUUCAGAGUUGAGGAAUUAAGUGUUCUUAUUGUUCGAAGUAUGGUCAUGAUAUGAGAUCAUGUUAUCAGGUAUAUGGAUAUCCAGAUUGGUAGCUGGAGAAGUAUGAAAAACCUACGAAACAUGUGUCACACUCUGAAAAACGUGUGUCACACACGGAGGCGUUACAGGUUGAUCCACAAGCUAUGACAGGGCUCAAGAAAGAUCAAUGGCAUAAGCUUGUUCGAUUCGAGAUUAGAGAUAGCAAAUUGUGUGAGUGAUAACACCUAUACAGAUAAGUGGAUUAUUGAUAGUGGUGCGUCGCACCAUAUGAUGGGUACGUUAAUUGGUAUGUUUGAUGUGCAUAAAGUCUCACCAUGUUUAGUGGGUCUGCCUAAUGGAAAUGUUAUGGUUGCUGUUAGAAAAGGAAGUGUGGCAUUGACGGAGAACUUAACUUUGACACAUGUGCUUUUUGUCAAGUAACUCAAGUACAAUCUCAUCUCUGUGUCACAGAUUAUUGAUCCAAUGAAUUGCAUUGUGUUGUUCUCCAAGCAAAUGUUUCGGAUACAGGAUCUUGCUUUGCAAAUUCUGAUUGCAGUGGGUGAAAGAAAAGAUGGAUUGUAUUUUCUUCAAGGUAUUCAGAAGACCGUGAAUGUGGCGAAGGUCAGUAAGUUGGGAUCUUUGGAACUUUGGCAUAAAAAGAUGGAACAUGCUUCUGAAAAGGUUAUUAGGAGAUUGCCAGAAGUGGAUCAAAAGAGUGUUAGUGUUUCCGAUUGCGAUGUCUGUUUCCGAGCAAAGCAGUGUCAGGAUGUAUUUCCUGUGAGUACAGAGAAAAGCAAAGAAUGCCUUGAGAUGAUUCAUUGUGAUUUGUGGGGGCCAUAUCGAACACAGAGCGUGUGUGGAUCCUUAUAUUUUUUAACUAUCGUGGAUGAUUAUUCUAGAACUGUGUGUGUUUUUCUUCUUGCUGAUAAAACACAAGUUCAUAAAACAAUGGUAAAUUUCUUUGCUCUCAUUCAGCGUCAGUUUGAGAAACAUGUGAAAAUCGUGCGAAGUGAUAAUGGUAGUGAAUUCAUGGGUAUGAAGGAGUAUUUUUGUACAUCAGGGAUAAUUCAUCAAACUUCGUGUGUAGGAACUCCUCAACAAAAUAGUAGAGUGAAGCGAAAACAUCAACAUAUACUGAAUGACGCACGAACGUUGAGGUUUUAGGCAAAUUUACCAAUAGAACUUUGGAGUUAUUGUGCUUUGAGUGCUGCGUAUCUAAUUAAUCAUACGCCUUCUAUGUUACACAAUGGUAAGAGUCCUUAUGAAAUCAUCUUUGGAAAAGCUCCUGCUUAUAGUGAGAUACGAGUUUUUGGAUGUUUAGCGUAUGCUCAUAAUCAGAAACGUCAUGGAGAUAAAAUUGCGAGUAGAAGCAUAAAAUGUGUAUUUUUGGGAUACCCUUAUGCAAAGAAGGGAUGGAACUUAUUUGACUUGGAGACACGUGAGAUCUUUGUUUCUCGGGAUGUCACUUUUAUUAAGGAACGAUUCCCAUAUUUGGAGCUAACAAAUGCACAGCUGGAUGUGCCUUCUAAUUCUAAUCAAAUGAGGUUAUAUGUGGAUGAUAAUGCUGGAUUUGACGAUAUAGAACCUGCCUUGACAAGGGAAAUUAUAUAACCUCUCACAAGAGAUACAAUGACACAGACUCAGGUUGUGUCAGACAAGGUUGCAGAAGAAAAAAAAUAGACUAUAGGAAACGAAAUACGUGAUAUCUUAGGAAUUACAGCGCCAAAAAUUGAACCUGCAUCGGUUACACAGUCUGAGAUUGUGCAGCCUGCUUUAGUGACAGAACCUGCAUUGGUUACACAGUUUGAGAAUGUGCAGUCUGCUUUAGUAACAGAACCUGCAUCGGUGACACAGGCUGAAACUAUGCAACAGCCUGCAUCAACAGAAACUUUGGGGCGAGGAAUGAGAAAGAAAGAAUCUUCUGUCAAGUUACGCGACUAUGUGUGCAAUACGACAUUUACAAUGAAUAUUUCCACUGUGAGUCAGGAGUUGAGUAAUGAUUAUGGUAUUGAGAAUUAUGUAAAUUGUGAAAGGUUCUCUGUGUCACACAAGGCAUUUCUGUGUAGUAUAACUGAAGGAGUUGUGCCGAAAAGUUUUGCUGAGGCCAUGAAGGAUCUGCGAGAUCUGCGAUGGAGAGAAGCUAUGAGACUCGAAAUUGAGGCCCAAGAACGAAAUCAAACAUGGUUGAUUGAACAAGUACCACCAGGUAAGCAUGUGAUUGAGUGUAAAUGGGUUUAUACAAUUAAGUAUAAUGCGGAUGGCUUGAUUGAAAGGUAUAAGGCGAGACUCGUGGCAUGUGGCAAUCGUUAAAAAGAAGGGAUUGAUUAUUCUGAUACAUUUGCUCCUGUAGCAAAGAUGAGCACAGUUCGAUUGGUUCUUCAAGUUGCCGCUGGGAAAAGUUGGGAGCUACAUCAGAUGGAUGUGUAAAAUGCGUUUCUUCAUGGAGAUUUGGAUGAAGAGGUUUUUAUGAGGGUACCUCAGAGUUUUGGUGCUUCUAAGAAGGGUAUGGUAUGUCGUUUGCGCAAGUCGUUGUAUGGUUUGAAACAAGCUCCGCGAUGUUGGUUCGUGAAACUUUCGAAGACAGUUUUAGGGUACGGUUUUACACAGAGUAAGGCUGAUUACUCUCUUUUCUCAUUAGUUUGUGAUAAAGUUCACUUGCACGUUCUAGUGUAUGUGGAUGAUCUUGUGGUGACAGGAAACUCUCUUGAGGUGAUACAAAAGUUUAAAACGUAUUUAAGCAAUUGCUUUCAUAUGAAGGAUUUGGGAAAAUUGAAAUAUUUUCUUGGAUUGGAAGUUGCAAGAAAUGCAGAGGGUAUAUACUUAUCACAGAGAAAGUAUGCUCUGGAUAUUAUUGCUGAUGUCGGUUUGCUUGGUGGUAGGCCUGUAGAGUUUCCGAUGGAGCAAAAUCAUCAGUUGGGAAGGUCGACGACAAAUAUUUUGAUUGAUCCAAAGAAAUAUUGGAUACUGGUUGGAAGGUUGAUUUACUUGGCUGCGACUAGACCAGAUCUUGCCUAUUCAGUUCACAUUUUAUCUCAAUUUAUGAAUGAGCCAAGAGAAGAUCAUUGGAUGGCUGCAUUGAGAGUUGUUUGUUACUUGAAAGGGUGCCCGGGAAUGGGGAUUUUGUUGAAAUCUGAUUGUAAUUUUCAUCUUACAGCUUGGUGUGAUUCAGAUUGGGCUGGAUGUCCAAUCACGAGGAGAUCUUUGAGUGGAUAGUUGAUAAAAUUGGGAAAUUCUCCUGUGUCAUAGAAGUCAAAAAAGCAAGAUGUUGUAUCAUGCUCUUCAACUGAAGCAGAGUAUCGAGCUAUGGUUUUGGCAUUGAAGGAGUUGAAGUGGUUAAAGAGUGUGUUGUUAACGAUGGGUAUUGCACAUUCUGGUCCAAUGGAUUUAUAUUAUGACAGUCAGUCUGCGCUUCAUAUUGCAGCUAAUCCUGUGUUUCAUGAGAGAACAAAACAUGUGGAGAUUGAUUGUCAUUUCAUUCGAGACGAUAUACAAGCUGGAAUUGUUCAGACCCAACAUGUUUCUACUACUCAACAGCUGGCGGAUAUCUUCACUAAAGCACUUGGAGGACGUCCGUUCAAAGGAAUUUUGUGCAAGUUAGACAUUCGAGAUCUUCAUGCUCCAACUUGAGGGAGGGUAUUAAGAGAUAUUAGGAGCUAUUAGGCUUAUUGCGCCUUUAUUUAUUAGAAUUAUUAGAGUAAUUUGUCUUACAUUGCUAGUUUCUAAGUCAAGAUUGACUAAUGUACUUGUAUAUAUAUGUGCAUUUAGGCUGAUGAAUAAAUCACUUCGGAAAAUUACUUUGACAUCUUGAACCAAAAAAAGUCUUGGAUGCAGUCCAUAGAGCCAUUUCGCGAACCACGUCAUGCAUCACAACACCUCUUCUACUAUUAGACUCUGUCAGUAAAUUUGAGUGGAUAAGGGUAUCAAGUACCACAUAACCCUUAUUCAUUGCCCUUUUAUAAGAUUUGUGUUCCCCCGAUGAAUCCCUCGCACAUCCAGUACUCUAUCAAUUCUUCUUUACUUAUUUGAAAAUCUUUUGACAAAGCACAAUAGAGGAAAUACGACUUGAUGUUGUUGAAACGUAAUCGUACUGAUUGAGCUCAAGCAACGACAAACUCUCACUCUAUUGAACUCUCUCUCUCUCUCUCUCUGAAGAUUCGCAUGAGUAUAAACGAGAGAAAGACGAAGAACACAGAGCACACGAUUUGAUUACCCAAAGUUCACCUCCUAGAUGAAGGCUACGUCUCUGGGGCCAGAUCUCGAGACGGCAAUUCCACUAACACGAAAAAAUCACAAGUCUCCAAGAACCGAGAGCUCGCGAGAAAGAAGACGAUAAGGUUUGUUACAACUGUGCUAACGGCUAGAUCCUAAUCCUUUUUAUAUACAAGAGGCUUACAACAAAACCGGAUAUUAACCAGAACCAAAUUAUAUCCUCUUAAUUGGACCAAUACUUGAUAACCAACUAAGAUGACUAACCAGUCUAAACCCAAACAUUAAUCUAGCCGUUAUACCAGAAUUGAAACUUAGACCAUAAUUCAACAGAUGUGUUCACCCACCAAGCUAUCAUAGCUGUACUUCAGAAUUAGAAGAAUUUUGUUUUCCAUGUCGGAAAACUCUGCAGCGGAUCUGGUCAAGACAUCGACUGCAAGCUCCCAUUCUUGUACCGUAGUUUGAUAUGACAUUGUCUCACCGAUGGCAAUUAGCGCUAGUGGCAGACCACAACAACUUUCAGCAACCUUUCUUGCGAGCUCGACAAUUUCAGGAUCACUUUUCAAAGUAUUGCCACCGACCAUUUUUUCAAACAAUUCCCAUGCUAUAUGUUUUUCCAGACAGUUGACUUGCAUUGGUUCAUGAUCCCCCAUCCGCUUACACACUUCGAGAGAACGAGUGGUGAAAGCUACUGUGCAUCCAUUGUGGGAAACGGAACACCAAUAGCUUCUAAAUCAACUUUCUCCCAUAUAUGAUCUAGCAUCAGAACAAAUCGCUUCCCUUUUAAAACUCUAGUUAUAUCAGCGGCCUUGUCACCUUCGUUUUUGUUCGUACACUCGCCGUCGCAAAGGUGUAGCUUUUGUGCAAUAUCUUCUUGAAGCUUUGAAAUAUUUGUGCCUUGAGAUACCACGACCCAGAUGAUAACUUGACACCCACCAGCCAUUUCACCGAACUUAUUGUGAAUUUUUUUUGAAAAGUGUAGUUUUUUCAACACCACCCAUACUGUGCAGGCCCAUGAUUCCGACUCCAUCUUUCAUAAGACGAUUCCAUGCCACUUCAAGCAUUAUUUCUAGGCCAAUCGUAGGCCCUGAAGGCCUGACUUCCACUACAGAUCUUGUAAGCGGCUCAGAUACCUCUUUAAAAUCACCUUCCAAUUUGAGAAUCUUAACUUCAUCCAACAACAAGAAUACAUUUUUCCCAAAUAGCUUGAGAAUACACUUUUUGAGCAUAAACCGCAGAGACACAACUUUGGAAGCUGAAUAGUACUAGUACUGAGCAGUUCAGUUACUCGUGUAUGGAUGCUCUCGACACAGUUACAAUAUAGAAGAAUCUAGAAGAUUCUAGAUAUUAUUGUUAAUAUUGUGUAUAUUAUUAUUUAGAUAUUAUAGAGAUUUGUAUCUAUCUUCUUUAGAAAAGAUCUAUGGUAUAAAUAUGUAUCUACUCUAUUCAUUAUAAUUAUGAGAGUCAAUAUACAUUACAAUUCUUCCAAUUCUAAACUCUCAUCACUCUAGUAGGUCAAGCCUUUUUCGAUGUUGUGUCUCCUCUAAUGCAACUCUGUUUUUCACCUGUUGUUGAAAUGCUUUGAGAUCUUCCAUUUCCCUCUGAAAAGUUCUUCUUGAGGUUUAGGAUAUAACCUUUACCAAGUAAGCAUCUAAAGAUACCAUUUACUGCUCCAUCACAAGAAAAAUUUGACACCCAAUUCUUAAUAGAUUAUAUGGUUACUGGUUUGUAGAUUUGUACAUUCUUAAUCGAUUCCACUAUUAUUCGUAAAUAGAUUAUAACAUUCUUUAAAAAUCCAUUGUUAUUGGUUUGAUGAUUUUUAUAAUCUAAUCAAAAUUCAUUGUUCUUCAAAAAGUUUAUAUUUUAAUGAUUUUAUAAUUAUAUUAAAAGCUAGUGUUAUUGGGAUAAAAAUUCUUUACAAUUCAACUCAUAAAUCAAGAUUUUUAAAAUACUAUCUAUAUCUAUUGAAUUCUUAAAAUCUGUCAUAGUAAAAUUAUUUUGUAAAUUGUUUUAAAUCCACAACACUCUCUUCAAAUUUUACAAAUCUAACAAAACUCUUGAAGAUUUGACUAAUCUUAUUACUUUUUAAAUCAACCAAAAUCUGUCAUAUGAUUUAAGGUGAUCCAGCUCUAUCUAUGCGCCACGUCAGCCUUUGUAAGGAGGACACAUCUCCCAUCUUUUAAUGCUUUUAUUUCAUCUUCUUCCCCCUCUAUUUUAUCUCAUAUUCCUUGUCUCACAGUGGCUCAAUCUCUCUUUUAUUUGUUUGCCAAUUUUGGGGAUUUGAAGACGGAAUAAAGAUUAAACUUUUUCUCAUAUUGUGUUCUAUGCAAUAUUCAAAUUAAGAUGAGAUGUGGAAAAAUCGUUAUAAAGAGGUUCUAGAAUGUGAAUAGCAGGCAAGUUACCUUCUCUAAGAGGCAUGAUGGGUUGUUUAAGAAGGCUCAUGAGUUAUUUGUUCUUCGCGACACUUUUAUCUCCGUCUUUUUACUCAUAUUAUGUUUAUGAUUUCUAGAAUAGUAGAAUAAUUUUCUUACUUACCCUACUUUCAAUCCUUAAAAAAAGUUAUUUGUUUGAUAAAGAUUUUAAUAAAAAAAAAACAAAUACCAAACAAUCAAGCAAAUUACCAUAUUUUUAUAAUUAACUACAUAUAUAUAUAUAUAUAUAUAUAUAUCAACACAAAUUAUUUUUAAAAAUAUUAUGUAAAACAAAACUCGCGCGUAUGCGCAGGUACAAGCCUAGCCUUUAUAAAUCCAAAUUCCAAUAACCUCUCUUAGCAUAAAUAAUAGAAAUGAUAAAACUAAAUAAAAUAAAUAAUUAACUUUAGAGUCGAUUACAACAUUCUCGAUUGUUAGACCAACAACAACUUCAUUUUGUUUUUUUUUUUGCAAAGUCUUAUAAUAUUCACCUUUUUUUUUAAAUAUUCUCCAAAAAAAUUUUAAUCAGAGAUUGAGUUGGAAAAAAAUAAAUUUUGGAAACAAAGAUUAUAAUUAGUUCAAAAAUGCUACCUUUUAAAAAAUGAUGAGUAAAAUAGAAGACAUUUCUUCUUAUAUAGAGGCUAAUCGUAGGGAUUCCAAUUAUGUUAUAUAGAUUUUCAAAAAUUUUGAUUUUUUAAAAAAUAAUCAGUAAUAAACAGAAAAAAUAUAAAAUAUGUUUGAUAACUAUAUUAGGUAACAACCAAAUUUCAUCUGCAUUAUAUUUGAAAAACUUAUAACUGAUAUUUUUGCAAGAUAGAUUUUUGUUUUUGUCUUGAAUAUUUUUUUUUAAAUGGUUAAACUACAAUGAUUUUUCCAAAAGUAUAAAAAAUCAGAAAAUAAUCGAUAAAAAUAUUGAAUGCAUAGUUUUAGUUAAAUAUUUUUCAAUUAUAAGCAAAUAGUUUUCGUCUCAUGCGCCGCGUGAACCGUGAAGUAUCUAUAAAAUAUUACUAAACAUGAUUUAAUUGAUUUAAAAUAUAAAUAAUUUAAUUGAUUUUAUAUGUAUGUUAAUAAUAUUAUGAUGAGUAAUGAUAUGAUUUUGUAUUAGUAUUACAAUUACAAAUAUAUAAUAGAACUAUAAGAUUUUAUUAUUGAUUUUCAUAUUGCUUUUGUUUUUCUUUUUUUUGUCGACUGCUUUUGUUUUAAAUAUGAAUGUAAUUAUAUAGUUAAUAGUUUAACUGAAAAAUCGAUAUAUUUUAUUGAAUAAAAAUUUUAGUAAUUUAUUUUGUUUUGUUUUUUCAAAUUCAAAUUAUCGCAUAUGCAUAAAAAUAUUAAAUUUUUAUAUGUUUGAUGUGAUAAUUAAUUCAGAAAAAAGUAAACAAAGAAAUAAAAAAAUAUAUAAUGAUUUAAAAAUAAUUCUUAUUAUAUAAUUGAAUAAGGAUUGAAUAUAAGAAAAUAAUUAAUAUGAUAUAAUUAAAUUUCAGAUAUUUUUGAUUCUAUUUGAUUGGCUAAUACAUAUGCUUUGAAAUUAUUUACUAGUUUUUGUGUGUCUAAUCAAAGAAAGAAAGAUUUUUUAAAAAAUUACUUUUAAUGAUUAGUUUAAUAAGAUAUAUUUGAUUUUUUAAUCAAAUUAAUAUGAAUGGAAUUAAUUAUAAUUAUUCUAGUAAUAUAAGUCUUUUUUUUCCAAAAAAAAUUGAGAGCAUAGCAAAAUUGUUAAUAUUACAUAUGACAAAUGUUAUUUUUAAAGUGUUUUUCUCAAAUAAUAAUAUAAAAGAUUUCAAAUUUCCACCGACAAUCAUUGACUUUGGAUUAUGAAAAUUUGUGAAAAACAAAUUACAACUCUUCAUUAACUUUACAUGUAUCCCAUUAAUUUAAACUGGUUAUACAAAUACUGUUGGCAUUCAAAUCCCUGCUCAAUGAAAAUAAACCCGUUGAUCAAAGAGUUAAAAAACAAAACAAAAAAGUGAAAAGCGAAGGAAAAGCUAGAUAACGAGCUAAAACAAGGGAACAAGACGUCAAGACCCCUACAUAUACAAAAGCAAACCCCUACGAGAACAACAAAACAAAACAGUACACUUGCAGAGAGAUAAGAAUGCAAAGGAUACAAAAGCAUAAAACAAUUUGAAUUGGUUUUAGUUUGACAAGGAAGCAACCCGUCUUAAGUUAUACAAUAGGAGAAUGAAAUACCUAAUCCAAGUGGCGUCACAACACACUUGCAGAGAGAUAAGAAUGCAAAGGAAAAACAAUAAUAGGAUAAUACAAUCCAUAUGAACAACACAUCACACAUCAAACAAUAAUACUCUGAAGAUCCCCUUUUACAUACGCAAAAACAUAAAACUAUUUGAUUUGCUUUAGUUUGAGAAGGACGCAAUCCGUCUUAAGUUGAUACAAUAGGAAAAUGAAAAACAUAAUCCAAGUGAACAACACAAAACACUGCAGAAGGAUACGAAUCAGUAAUGAUAUCCAAAAUGAACACAUCACACUACAAGAUCAAAGACAGAAGACGAAGAUGCGUAGAUUCUGUUCUUAGUGCCGAAUCCUUAUGCAUAGUGAAGGAUGUUUAGUAGACCUAAAGCAACAAACGAUGAAAAAAAAGAAACAAAAGUUAGUGAGUGACACUUGCGGGGCUCAUUGAAAUUGAGAGGCACAAGCAUAUUGAGUAUAUAUAAAUCUUAAGAAUCUGAACUACUUUUAGUCGUUUUCUUUUAAUAUUUCUAACCUCCCAUUUAUUUCUUGCUGAACAAGAAACCCAGAUGUGGAAGGAAAAGAAGAAGAAAUUGUUUGUGAUUUGAUCCUUUGAAGAGAUCAAUACACAUAUGUUUUUACAUUUUGAAAUAAUGAAACUAAUCCACCGAACACAUGCAUGACUUUUCUAAUAUUUUUUUUUUAUCAUGUUGUCCAAUUUGUGUUUGUCGGGUAUAUCAUGAUGCAAAUGGAGAGUAUCAGUCUAAUAAGGGUGAAUACUUCAAGCUAACCUAUAGCAAACAUGAAAAAAACUCAGAGAUGAAAAAAAUAAAAACCAAAGCGGAAGGGUAUUAAGAGAACUGAUUACCAGAUGGAUUAAAGGCAAUAAACGGUUUUUGGUAUCUUCGUCCUCCCAUUCAAGCUCAGUUAUCUCUUGUCCAUGACCCAUAUCUAUUGUAAACCGGGCAAGUCGUGGGACACUUGUAGCAUCAAAGGGAAGCUUUCUCAGAUUUGGACACUCUAGUACGCUUGUGUGCCACAAUGAUGGAAAGGGGAGAGGACUCCAAUAGAUACUCUCCAGCUUAGGCAAACUUGUCAGCGAUAAGAAUUCAAGUUUCUGAAAUGGUGUAAUACCUGUAAGAUUGUUUGCUUUCUCUUUGUUUAUUAUUUCUUCCACUUCGUUUGAAUAUUCAAUUUGUAGGUAGACAAGAUUUGGAGCAAACAAUAGCCAAGUCAUAUCCUUAAAGCCAAUACAGCCAUAGAUAUGCACAAACAAGAGGUUUGUAAAGCAUGGACUUGUCGGAUUGUCUAGAUCUGACAAGUCCGUCCCGCCUUCUCUGCAUUUUGUAUUAAUCUCCGAGAUAUGACUAUUUUCCAGCCAGAGCAUACGAAGAUUCUUCAUACUCACCAGCAAUGACAUAUUCAAUGGCUUUUUAUAAAAAGAUUGAAUACACAGACCAUUGAUGCAGUUCGCCAACUUUUGAUCCCCUAAUAUUUGCUCCAAACCCAAUUCCGUAGAUAUCGUUAUGGUUAGAACUUGUAGAUGCUCCAAGAUCUGUAGCUCCUUCACUGAGCUAACAUCUCCAUGAACAUUGGACUUUAGUAGUUUCAAAAUUCUUAAACUCGAAACCUUUGAUAUCUCACUGAUACUCCGAAGUCUGUGUGUAGAAGUCAAAUUUAGCUGGAUUAGCUUUUUCAACUCUUGGAAACCAACAGGCAGUUGCUCUAUACUUGUAUUCGACAAGUCAAGAUACUGUAAGGAGGUCAGCUCUGAUAUCUGCUCUGGAAGUUAAUUGAAGUUAUUAUUACCGGAUAAAUCCAAAACAAGUAGUUUUUGCAUAGAAAGGAUGAAUUCACUUGAGAGACUCUUCAAUUUAUUAUCCUGGAAAAACAUAGUUGUAAGUUCAGAACACUUGGAACAGCAACUAAUCUCUUCUAUCGCAUUACACAUUAAUGAUAAAAUUCUCACAGGUCUCCAAUCUUCAACUUUUGGUGUCUCACGUAAUCCGACUCGCGCUUGCACAACACAAAUUUCUUUCGGUUUUCCAAAGUCAGAUGCAAUCCAUAGAGCCAUUUCGCGGACUAUGUCAAUGAUGAUAGACUUAUUCGUAGAUUUUCAUUAAUGGUAGAUUUAUUUUCCUAGUAGUGGUAGAUUUAUUGUCAAAUGAUGAAAGAUUUAUUUUUGUAUAGGUUUAGUAUACAGUAGAUUUAUUUUUGAUAUAAUGAUAGAUUUAUUUUGGAUUUUAUGUAUUUAUCUUCUUCUCUAGUAGGUUAUUGACGACGAAUGGUGGAUCAAAAGAUAAAUAAUAUGAUGGAAGUGGAGUGAGUUACUAGCACGGAAAUGGAGAUUUGUUUAUCAAAAAAAAUAUUUGUAGAUUUGUUUGCUUGAAUAGUGGUAUUUGUUUAUUUAAUGGUAAAUUUAGUUUAGGAUUUGAUAGAUUUAUUCGAAAUGGUAGUAAAUUUCUUUUUAAAUAAUAAUUUAAUAAUUGCUUAGUAGUAUAAUCAAAAUGAAUGAGAUAUAAACUAAAAACAUAUGAUACAACCCAAUAAUAUAAAACAAAUUAAAAUACAUAUUCAUUUUAUAUACCAAAAAAGAAAAUAAACAAACACAAAUAAAUAAAAAACCAUUUGUCAUUUCUAACACAAUCAAGCAUUGUCUAGCAAAUAACCAAAUAUCAUAAAUGGUUCAAUGUAGAUUAAAGUAAUAAUACAACUUUUCAUUUGUUAUUGACAUUUUAGUACUUCAAAAAAUUCAUAUAUCAAACUAAAUCAGUCCUUAUAAUUAAAUGCAUUUUUCAAUUAAUUUUAAACCCACUUUUCCUCUAAUAUCCCAUAGGAUAUCACCGAGGAGGUAGGUGGUCUUACUUUGCUAAGCUUCAAAUUGUAUUGUCUUCACUUUUCAGUAUAAGACUAAUAAACAUUUAGUUUACAAUUUUGAAUUUUCUAAAUGGAGUAGGCCGAGAUCAGGUCCAGGCUAUUGAUGCGAACAAAUCUUACAAAUUGCAAACGGCUAUUUGCUUUGUGUUAGCAUUGGUCCAUUGAAUUUUCAAUUUUUUUAAUAACUUAUAUUGAGUCAUAUGGAAAUGGACAACACUCAGCGGUAUCAGUUCUUAUCAGCACCGCUGCUUUGUAUGUAGUCGCCGUCUGCUUUGUAUCGUAAAAGAAAGAAGAUUGAGUUUUGCCAGAAUCUACUCUACAAGAUUGUUGUAGUUUCUGGACACGCAGCUAAUUCAAAUGACGAACCAAUGUUCAAUGUUCAAGACCGGUGGGCAGUGAAUAAUUGAGCGUAUCAAAUUAGGCUUGCGAAUUUGUUUUUUGCUGAAGAUUUGUUCUUGGGCUCUUGUUUUAAUGUUCUUAAUGUGGUGAAGCCAUUAGGAAAGGAAUGUGAAAACUCUUAAAAUUAAGAAGACUCUUUCCAUGUCUUCUUAAGUGAAGUUGUCUCUUAAGCUUAUUGCCCCAAAUCAGAAAGCCACUAGAUAUAGUUUGGGAUUAGAUGGAAGUCAUAGCAUCUUCAGAUUAGGUUUAGGGGGUUUAAAUUAGAGAGUCUGAUAAACAGGAUCUUCAUGAUUCAGCAAAAUCAUAUAACUUUUCAUCUUGAUUCCUCCUGUUAACAACACAUAUACACUUCAAGAUGAAAUAGAAAAAGCUACAGGUAGAGGAAUUUGAUUUUGGAUAGUGAGGAAUCAAAAUACACAGUAAAUUCAGAGGCAUCACAUGCUUUUAUGAUAUCUCCUUUCACGUAAAAGCAUAAAAACUGUUGAUUAUAUAAAUACAUGUAGCUUGAGAAAAAAGCAAUCCGCCUUAACUUAUUACAUAGAAAAUUGAAAAUAGAAAAUCCAAUUGAACAACACAACACACUGCAGAGAGAGAGAGAUAAGAAUGCAUAGAAAAAACAAUAAUACAAUCCAAAUGAACAACACAUCACACUUUGAGGAAGAAAGAGAAAGCAGAAGAAGAAGCGUGGAUUCUGGUUUCUGACUGUGAGGAAUCCCAAUCCAGCUUCUGGUGUGGUUAGUCUAUACUGAAUAUGUUAAGAAGAAAUAAAAUAAACAAAGUUAGUGAAUAUUCAGAAAUUCAUCUAAGACUGCUAGGAAUAUCCAGCAAAUUCUGCCUCACCAUUAAUAUACUAAUUUUAACCAGUUUCUAUUAAAUAUUUUUAUAUAUGCCUUGCUUAACGAAUGUGAAAGGAAAAGAAGAAGAAAGAAAAUACUGUUUGUGAUUUAGUCAUUUGAAGAGCUCAAUGCACGUAUGUAUUUAAACUUUUGAAAUUGACCCCUCGUAAAUAUCCAACAAACACAGGUCUGAUGAUUUUGCAGAUAAUUUUCUAAUUUUGUGACCCAAUUUGUGUUUUGUUGGGUAUCAUGAUGCAAAUGGAUCAUAUCAGACUAAAAUAAAACGAUCACACUUCAUUCUAACCUUGAGCAAACUUGACAGAAACUCAGUAAGAUAAAUUAAUUUAUUCAAGCGGAAGAGAAUAAGAGAAAUGAUUACCCAAAUGACCGAUGGCAGGAAACGUUUUUUUGUAUCUUCAUCCUCCCAUUCAAGCUCAGUUUUCUGUUCUGGAGGAACCAUAGAUAUUUCAAACCCGUCAAGUCGUGGGACACUUGUAGCAUCUAAAGGAAGCUUUCUCAGCUUUGGACAAUUUCCUACAUAUAUGUACCGCAAUGAUGGAAAGGGGAGAGGACUCCAGUAGAUACUCUCCAGCUCAGGCAGAUUUCUCAGGGAUAAGUAUUCUAGUUUCUGAAAUGGUGUAGUACUUGUAAGAUUGGUUGCUUUCUCUUUGUUUAUGAUUUCUUCUACUUCUCCUAAAUGUGAAAUGUCUAGCCAAGUCAGAUUUGGAGCAAAGAGUAGCCAAGUCAGAUCCUUAAUGCUAUCGCAGUUUCUCAUAUUCACGGCGGAGAGGUUGGUAAAGCAUGGACUCGUCUUGCUUCCUCUGCAUUUAAUAUAUGUAUCAAUCGCCGACACAUGACUACCAUCCACCUGGAGCAGACGAAGAUUCUCCAUACUCAACAGCGAUGACAUAUUGAAUGGCUUUUCUUUAAAACCUUGAAUACCCAGACGACUGAUGCAGUUAGCCAACCUUGGAUCGCCUAAUAUAUGCUUCAAACCCAACUCGGUAGAGAUCGUUAUCUCUAGAACUUGUAGAUGCUCCAAGAGCUGCAGCUCCUUCAACAAGCUAACAUCUCCAUGAACUUUAGAAUUUCUUAGUUUCAAAAUUCUUAAACUCGACAGCUUUGAUAUCCCACUGAUACUACGAAGACUGUUUGUAUAAGUCAAAUCCAGAUGAAUUAGCUUUUUCAACUCUUGGAAACCAACUGGCAGUUGCUCUAUACUUGUGUUUGACAAGUUAAGAUACUGCAAGGAGGCCAGCUUCGAUAUCUGCUCAGGAAGUUUUUGGAAAUAGCGAUUAUCUGAUAGAUCCAAAACAACUAGCUUUUGCAUAGAGCCGAUGAAUUUACCUGAGAGAUUCAUCAACUCAUUCUUCUGGAGGAGCAGAGUUGUAAGUUCAGAACACUUGGAACCACAGGUUAUCUUUUUAAGCUCAUUCUUCAUCAAAGACAUCCUUCUCACAGCUCUCCAAUCCUUGACUUUUGGCAUUUCGUGUAAUCCGACUCCUGCUUGAACCAAAAAAGUCUCUUUCUGUUUCCCAAAGUCGGAUGCAAUCCAUAGAGCCAUUUCGCGAACCACGUCAUGCAUCACAAGAUUCACAACACAUCUUAGUUUCAAAAUUCUAUUAGACUGUUCUGUCAGUAAAUUUGCGCGGAUAAGGGUACCAAGUACCUCAUAACCCUUAUUCACUGCCCUUUUAUAAGAUUGGUGUUCCCCAAUGAAUCCCUCACAUAUCCAAUAUUCUAUCAAAUUUUCUUUAUGUAUAGGAAAAUCUUCAGGAAACAGAGCACAAUAGAGGAAACACGACUUGAUAUUUUCACCCACCAAGCUAUCGUAGCUGAACUUCAGAAUCGGAAGAAUUUUGUUUUCCAUGUCGGAAAACUCUGCAGCUGAUCUGGACAAAACAUCGACUGCAAGCUCCCAUUCUUGUACCGUAGUUUGAGAUGACAUUGUCUCACCAAUGACAACAAGCGCUAGUGGCAGACCACAACAUUCUUUAGCGACCUUUUUGGCAAGCUCGACAAUGGCAGGAUCUCUACUUAAUGUAUUGUCUCCUACCUUGCUUUUGAACAAUUCCCAUGCUUCAGUCCAUUCCAAACAGUUGACUUUCAUCGGCUCAUGAUCUCCCAUCCGCCCACAUACUUCCCGAGAACGAGUGGUGAAUGCUACUUUGCAUCCAUUUUCUCUGGUCGGAAACGGAACUCCAAUGGCUUCUAAAUCCACUUUCUCCCAUAUAUCAUCUAACAUCAGAACAAAUCUCUUCCUCUUUAAAACUCUGUGUAUAUCAGCGGCCUUGUCAUCUUCACUUUUGUUCGUUCCGCCAAGGUUUAGCUUUUGUGCAAUAUCUUCUUGAAGCUUUGAAAUAGUCGCACCUUGAGACACCACGACCCAGAUCACAACAUCAAAUCUACCAGCCACUUCAGUGAACUUAUUGUGGAUUUUCUUGAAAAGGGUAGUCUUGCCUACACCUCCCAUACCGUGCAAACCCAUGAUUCCAACUCCAUCUUCCAUAAGGCGAUUCCAUGCCUUUCCCAGCAUUGUUUCCUGACCAAUCGUAGGCCCCGUAGGCCUCUCUUCUACUGCAGAUCUCAAACCCGGCUCAGUAACCUCUUUAGAAUUACCCUCUGAUUUGAGAAUCUGGACCUCUUCCAGCAACAAGAAUACCUUUUUCCCAUAUUUGUAGCUCGAACAUACACUUUUUGAACAUAAACCACAGAGACACAACUUCUUAAGCUCAACAGGACUAGUACUAAGCAGAUCAUUGAACCGUGUAUCGAUGCUCUCGACACGUGUUAGCCAUACCUUGACAGCUUCAAGCCUUUGUUGAUGUUGUGCCUCCUCUCUCGCCACUUUGUUCUUCACCUCAGCUUCAAUUGCCUUGAGAUCAUCCAUUUCCCUCUUCAGAGCCCUGAGAUUCUCCUUGAGGUUUCGAAUAUAACCCUUACCACAUAAGCAUCUGACGAUAUGGUUCAACGUUUGAUCACAGGAAAGUUGGAAAGACACACAAUUCCCCAUGGUGAUAGAAAGAGAGAAAACUUUGAGUAAGCAACAAACGAAAGCUAAAGAUGAAGAAGUGUUUUAUGUGAAAAGCAUUUAACUAAUUCUGAAGAAGGAAGAGAGGAUUAGUUAGAUUUUAGUCUACUAUGCGUUUUAAUUUCCGCCAUUGUUUCGAAGGACGUUUAGUCGUUUACUUUAGAUGCAAUUAUGUUUGAAAAAUUCAAAGGUCAAUUACCAACUCUUAUCAUUAUUAAGAUGCAACUAUGUUUUAAAUUAUACAAAGGUCAAUGAUUUAAUCGCCCAGUUUGGAUUAUUAUGCAACUAUGUUUUAAAAAAACAAAGCUCAAUUAAUGUUUAAUCACUGGGUUUGGAUUAUUAUCAUCACUUGUUGUUAAUUAUUUAAAUCAUUCACUUUCAAAUAUUUGUGAAAAAUCAAUUACUUUAGAAUAUUUUCCAAAUGACAUGGGAACCAAUAACCAUGAUCAAAAACGGUGUGGUGCGAUCGCCCGAAGCCAAAAACAACUUACAAGAAAUCUGGAACAGAGCAGACAAUGGAGAAGUCUAAGGAGCUCGUCAAGGAUAGAAAUCUGGAACAGAGCAGACAAUGGAGAAGUCUAAGGAGCUCGUCAAGGCUGAGAACUCAGAAUGGCCUCCAAAUUUUAUCUGCACCUGAAUUCAGAAUGGCCUAACAAAAAGUGCAGAAUGGCUUAUAAAAAUUGCCCAUACCAAGCAAAAAAAAAAAAAAACAAAGUCAGUCAAUAACAGAUAUCAGUCUCGAAGUUGCUUUUUUGUUUCACCAAAAAAAAAAAAAGAAGAAGUUGCUUCUUUUGUGGGAAAAGCAGAGGUCAUAUAAAGGCUAAUUGUUACAAGUUUCAGAGGAAAGUAAAUCAGUUUUAGAAUCAUCAAGACUAUAUGGAAAAACCAUUGAGAUUCACAGAAGCAAAGAAUUUUAUUUUGGACAUUGAGGAAUAAAAAUCUAAAAUCAAAAUCCAAAGGUACAUUGAAGGAUGUUUAGACCCAAAACGGCUACAAAAGAAAAGAAAAAAAAAAGUUAGUGACACUUGUGGAACGCAUUGAAAUUGAGAGGGACAACAUAUUCUGAAAAUAAAAUUCCUUUUCAACAUGUCUGCAGGGAUUAUCCAACUAGUUCAACCUCACCAUUAAUAUCUUAAGAAGCUGAACUAGGUUUAAACGGUCUUGUUGCGGAUAUCACCAAUAUCAAUUCGUUCAAAUUGAGUUUCCGAUCUGAAUCUUAAGAUGAAAUAGAAACGAGAAAUAAGCAUUAGAAACUACACACAAGAUUUAUCCAGUUUAGGCGCCAACCGCGACCCUACAUCUGGCAGAGACUUCCUCGGAAUUCACUAAGAGAAUGGUUUACAGAGUAGCCGUUACUCUCACUGGAAGAUACCCCGAGAAUCCCUUUCACUCACCGGAAAGAUCUCACAGUUUUCACUCACCAAUUACAAAAAAUGGUAUGUCGAAGAAGAUCUCUCUCUCUCUCUCUCUCUCUCUCUCUUUCUCUCUCUCUCUCUCUCUCUCUCUGCAACUAAUUAAUGACCGACCCGUAGUAACAAACCGAAACAACCCCUGCGCGUAAACACACGCUCUAACGGUCACUCUUCGAUAUCAGCUUCUAGAAGAAGCUCGUAACGAUGACGUCUUGGAGUCUUACCUUAUCCGGUUCACUUAAUCCUGAAAUCAAUAUCCUGACUUCAUUAACCGGAACCUGCUAAUUGAACUAGAUGGUUUAUCAACCAAACCCAUCUGACAGGUUUUUUAACUUUCUCUUUUAACAUUUUUCUCCUCCCAUAUAUUCUUUGCUGAACAAGAAACCCAAAUGCCAAAUGUGAAAGAAAAGAAGAAGAAGAAGAAUUAUUUGUGAUUUGAUCAUUGAAGAACUCAAUACACACAUGUUUUAUAAUUUUGGAAUUAAUGAUACCCCAUACAAAUCCACCAAACACAUGUUUAUUUUCAACGUAAUUUUACAGUUUGUGAUCCAGAUUGUGUUUGUUGAGUAUCAUGAUGCACAUAUGGAUCAUAUCAGUCUGAUAAAACGAUUCAGACCUCAUGCUAACCUUGAGUGAAAGAAACUCAGUAGUAAAAAUAAUUACCCAAACAGAAGAGUUUAAAGGCAUCUCCUAUGUAUAAUUCUAUAUUUUACUCUAUUUAGAUACUCUAUUUUAAAGUAACUUCAAAAUGGAAUUGUGUUAUUGUUGACAAUCUUCCCUUCCUCUUACAUUCACUCUGGUUUGAUUUCUUUCUCUCUUUCUCUCUCCUUCCUUUCUCUCAGUCUCUCUCUCUAGUUCUUGCUCUGUUUCACUCAUUGUUAUUGUUUGCUUGUUCUAUAUUGUUUGCUUGUUCUAAGUGAAAACAAGAAGAAAGUUAGAGAAAACAUUUAAUAGGCUACAUCUUUGAUAUUUGAUCUUUCGAUGCUUUUCUUACACAAACACAACACAUACACUUAUACUACUUGAUACUUGAACUCACUUGGACUCUAGACUUAACCACUUCUUCAAUGCCAUACUUCUAGUACUAGACUAGUUGUACAAGCAACCUUACUUCAAACAUCAUUACCUUUAACAACUCUUAACUAUUCUAACAACUCUUAAAGUAUUCUAACUCUAUACUUAGACACAUACACAAACUCGAUAUUUUGGCUUCUUGGGCUGAUGACAAUUCGCAGGCCCAUUACUCUUAAACAAGAAGCCCAAUCCCUUUCUCCAGAGUUGACUUCUCUUCUUGGUUGACUCUCUUCUUCUUCUCUGAUUCCUUCUUCCACCACACGAGACUUCAUCUUCUUCCUUUCUUCUUCUAAUUGAAGCAACUUUCUUGUUUGCUAGAUUUAAUCAAGGACUCAACCUUCAACAGUUAUCCUCCAAUUUUAUUCCAUGGAGUCAUGACUAAAAUAUUUAGAGUAACUCCAUUUUUAGAGUAACUGUAACAUCCCAAACCCAGCCCAAUUAGAGGAGGCCCAGCAAAUCCAGGCCCACUCCAGAAACCCUAAUAUAAAUAGAGAAUUAGGAGUUAAUGAGCCUCAUUUUGCCUAAUUACCCUAGCCCCCAAAGAAAAGAAAGUGAGAGAGAGAAGGAGAAGCUGCACGCCGUCGCCGAGGACGAGAGCCGCCGCCGCCGCCGGAGAAGGGUGCCGCCGCCGCCGCCGCUUGCCGAGAGAAGAAGGAGCACUCGCCUGCCUCCACCUUCUCAGAAGUUGCUUGAUUCUUUUGCCUCUUCUAGUUCUCCUUAAUCUCAGAUCUGCUUUUAGGCCAAGGUGAGGAUUAGAUCUAGGUCUUUCUUCUUAUCCCUUUAUCUUCUUCUGUUGUGUUGAGUCUAGAUCUGGUGGGACAGGUAUGUCUUCUUGUGCAUCUAGGCAGAUCCAUAUAUAUAUAUANNNNNNNNNNNNNNNNNNNNNNNNNNNNNNNNNNNNNNNNNNNNNNNNNNNNNNNNNNNNNNNNNNNNNNNNNNNNNNNNNNNNNNNNNNNNNNNNNNNNGUAGAAGUCCUAAAGGUCAUAAGUCUGUUUCUGUAUAGUGAUGUUGCCGAAUGCAGGCUUUGUUUGCUGGGUUAUGUUGCCGUCUGUGUGACCGUGGCAAUAAUCCAUUCAUCCGGUGGAGUGAUGACCCACGGGGCUGUCCGUGUGACAGGGUCUCUGUCUGUGUGACAGGGCGUCUGUCUGUGUGACAGGGUGAGAUGUCGACCUGUGUCCGAGUGACAAGGUGGUUUGGCCUAUUGAGAGGCGGGAUCGGAGACAUCACUGCUUGUUAGUUGCUUGUGCACUUGUAGAGUGCUUGUUUGGUUUCAUUAGAUUUAUUCUUAAUAUGUUGGUGGAAAUAAAUGAAUAAGGCGGGAGCCUGGUUUGGUUCUCACUGAGUAAUUCUUCCAAAUUACUCACCCCUCUCUCUCUAAAUUCCGAUGUGCAGGUGAAUGUGAUUGUGAUUGUGAAUGUGAUGAUGUCUGGGAAGAAGUAGACGAGUAAUUCUAGUGUGGUGUGCCUUCAGAAAUGGAGGAAGUUUUAUUGUUUUCAAGAACUAUUUCACAUUUCUUCUUAAGACAAUGUUUCUAUUUUAUUUCAGAUUUCAUAAGUUAUUUCAUUUCUAUGGUAAGACUUAGAUUUGGGUUUGGAUUUGAAUAAAGAACAACAAGUUAUUUGGAAUUGAUUUAGUUUAGGUUAGUUAAUAUCCCGGUUUAUUCUGGUUUCCUUCGGAAGCAGGAAUCGGGGUGUUACAAUUUGGUAUCAGAGCAUGGUUCGAACUAGGUGUUAAGAGAGCUAUCUAGAAUAGUGGGAAUGGGAUUCGGAUUUCAAAAAAAAAAUGGUUUAAAAAGUUUUUAAAAGUUUUCAAGUUUUCAAAGUUCAAAGAUUUUUCCAAAUGUUUUCAAAGAAAGAAAACUACCACCUAGACUGGCCUCUCUAGUUUUUGUUGUUCUUUUCUUUUGCAGGAAGUUAGUCUUUACGGGACCGGACUGACUUAUCUGCCUUUUAUAGUUUUGUAAGCCCGAGGUUGACCAAGUGUUGGACCUUCUCCGGAAAGUUCACCCCCAGAUUGAAAGCAGUGGAAACUGCUGGAAGUGAGCAGGUGAAGACCAUUGGAAUCCAUGAAGAGGUGCCUAUCUUGUUGGAAGGAGCAGAUUUUCCUUGGACUCUAGUGAAAAUGAAGUUGGGCCACUAUGAUGUUAUCCUUGGAAUGGACUGGCUGAAGCAUUAUGAAGUUGUCCCGAAUUGCCGGAAGUCGAGGGCCUAUGUUCCGUAUCAAGGAGGUCGGAUUGCCUUUCAGGGAGUAAAGACCGACACCGGAGUGCCAGUCAUUUCGAUGAUUCAUGCCGAGAAUCUUAUAGAGGAAGGAUGUGAAGCUUUCUUGGCGACAGUCUCUAUGGUAGGAGAGGGAGCACCUAAGAGCCUUGAGGAGAUACCAGUGGUGAAUGAAUACGCGGACGUAUCCAACCAUUGACUGGACCUCCGCCAAGAAGAGGAGUUGACUUCACUAUCGAAUUAGAACCAGGAACAGCCCCUGUUUUGAAGGUUCCAUAUCGAUUGGCACCAGCAGAGAUGGCUGAGCUAAAGAAGCAGUUGGAGGACUUGACGGAUAAAUGAUUUAUUCGGCCAAGCAGCUCGCCAUGGGGAGCGUCCGUGCUAUUUGUAAAGAAGAAAGAUGGAAGCUUUCGACUUUGCAUUGAUUAUAGAGGGCUGAAUAAGGUGACCAUCAAGAAUAAGUAUCCCUUGCCAAGGAUUGAUGAGUUGUUGGACCAGUUAGAAGGAGCUUCAUGGUUCUCUAAAAUUGAUUUGGCGUCAGGCUAUCACCAGAUUCGGAUAGCAGAGGAGGACAUUAGUAAGACAGCAUUCCGAACUCGAUAUGGUCAUUAUGAGUUUGUGGUAAUGCCGUUUGGAUUGACUAAUGCGCCUGCAGCUUUCAUGAAGUUGAUGAAUGAUAUUUUUUUAGAGCACUUGGAUAAGUGUGUGAUUGUCUUUAUUGAUGACAUCCUGGUCUAUUCAAGGUCGGAGAGAGAGCAUGAAUGGCAUUUAGGAAUGAUUCUGCGGAAGUUAAGGGAUCAGCAGCUUUUUGCGAAGCUAAGCAAGUGUAGCUUCUGGCAGAGGAAGAUGGGAUUCCUUGGCCAUAUUGUCUCAGAAGAGGGAGUAGCAGUGGAUCCUGAGAAGAUCACUGCAGUGACAGAGUGGCCUGUACCUAAAAGUGUUACUGAGGUCUGUAGCUUUUUGGGUCUGGCUGGGUAUUAUCGUAAGUUUGUGCCUAAUUUCUCCCGUAUUGCCAAACCUCUCACCAGCUUGACGGAGAAGAAUGUUAAGUUUGAGUGGAUGGAUAAGAGAUCUCAGAGUUUUGAGGAGUUGAAGCAGAAACUCACAGAGACUCCGAUAUUGAUACUUCCAAGGUCAGGAAUACCAUAUGAUGAAUACACCGAUGCCUCUGGAUCCGGGUUAGGAUGUGUGCUGAUGCAGGAAAAGAAGGUCGUAGCNNNNNNNNNNNNNNNNNNNNNNNNNNNNNNNNNNNNNNNNNNNNNNNNNNNNNNNNNNNNNNNNNNNNNNNNNNNNNNNNNNNNNNNNNNNNNNNNNNNNGCUUCGGAAGCAUGAAGUGAAUUAUCCGAUUCAUGAUUUGGAGUUAGCAGCAGUAGUAUUUGCUCUGAAGAUUUGGCGUGCUUACCUGUAUGGGGAGAAGGUGCACAUAUAUACUGAUCAUCAGAGUUUGAAGCAUGUGUUCACUCAGGAUGAUUUGAAUCUGAGGCAGAGGAGGUGGAUAGAAUUAUUGGCUGAUUAUGAUUUGGAAAUUUCCUAUCAUCCUGGAAAAGCCAACCAAGUGGCAGAUGACUUGAGUAGAAGGAGAAAUGCGGUUUCUGAGGCUAAGGAAACGCAGGAGCUGAUAGCGACUUUGGCGAAUUUGAGUUUGUGUGUCGCUGAAGUAGAGGAUGAUGCAGCAGGAUUUGAAGCAUUGGAUAAUGCUGACCUGCUGAUGAGGAUUCGUCAGGAGCAAGCGCAUUAUUUGUCCCUUAAGGAGAUUUUUGAAAAGCAAGUGGUUGGGUACCACAAAGCAGACAACGGGACUUACAUGUAUAGGAAUCGAGUCUGUGUUCCCAUGAAUGAUGAGCUAAGGAGGGAAGUGUUAAGUCAGGCUCAUCAGUCGAAGUUUUCUAUUCAUCCAGGGAACACCAAGAUGUAUCGGGAUCUAAACCGCUACUACCGUUGGUCUGGUAUGAAGCGCGAUAUUUCUGCUUGGAUAUCUCAGUGUUCUACAUGUCAGCAAGUGAAAGCAGAGCAGAUGGCACCAAGUGGACUUCUCCAAAACUUGCCAUUACCAGAAUGGAAAUGGGAUAUGGUAACUAUGGAUUUUGUGACGGGGUUGCACAGGACACUAAGUAAGAAGAAUGCGAUUUGGGUAAUCGUAGACCGUCUUACUAAGUCAGCUCACGCUUUGCCAAUUAAAAAGACGGAUGGAGCAGAGCAGUUGGCGCAGAAGUAUAUUGAUGUUAUUGUGAGGUUGCAUGGAGUUCCAGUGAGCAUAGUGUCGGAUCGGGAUCCAAAGUUUACAGCUAGUUUCUCGCAGGCCUUCCAGAAAGCAUUGGGAACAAAGGUUCAUCUCAGCACAGCAUACCACCCUCAGACAGAUGGCCAAUCAGAAAGGACGAUUAGGACCCUGGAGGAUCUGUUGAGAACGUGUGUCCUAGAUUGGGAAGGAAGUUGGGAGAAGCAUUUGCCUUUGGCGGAAUUUGCUUAUAAUAACAGCUAUCAUAGUAGCAUUGGGAUGGCACCAUAUGAGGCUCUAUAUGGUCGGCCUUGUCGCACACCUCUGUGCUGGACAGAAGUAGAAGAAAUGAGAGUGCUAGAGCCAGAGCUCCUUGAGGAGGCGUCUAAGCAAGUGGAAAUGCUUAAGACAAGGUUGAAAGAAGCUCAUGAUCGCCAGAAGAGCUAUGCAGAUCAGUGAAGGCAGGAGUUGUCUUUUGAAGUUGGUGAUAUGGUGUAUCUGAAGUUGAGGACCUUCAGAGAGAAUGAUAAGCAUCGGCUGAUGAAGAAGCUUAAGCCUAGGUACAUGGGACCGUACCCUAUCCUGGAAAGGAUUGGAGAAGUGGCUUACCGUUUGGAGUUGCCCAAAGAAUUAGCUGAGUUCCAUGAUGUGUUUUAUAUCUCUCUUCUGAGGAAAGUUGUGAGGGAGCCAUAACUCAUUUUGCCCCAGCCGCCAGCAGAUGUAAAGAAGGACUUCUCAGCAGCAUAUCAGCCUGAGGCAGUGUUGGAAUUUCAGGAAAAGGAGUUGAAUGGUAAGAGAAAACCAGCGGUUAAGGUGUGUUGGGAAAGGGAUGGAAUCCGCGAAGAAACCUGGGAAGUAGAGCAGAAAAUGCGGAAGGAAUUCCCGGAACUCUUUAAGGAUAAGGGAGAAACCGGAGGAGUGGGAGAGAAUUCGGGGACGAAUUCUAUGGAAGUAGGGGAGAGUGGUAACAUCCCAAACCCAGCCCAAUUAGAGGAGGCCCAGCAAAUCCAGGCCCACUCCAGAAACCCUAAUAUAAAUAGGGAAUUAGGAGUUAAUGAGCCUCAUUUUGCCUCUAAUUACCCUAGCCCCCAAAGAAAAGAAAGUGAGAGAGAGAAGGAGAAGCUGCACGCCGUCGCCGAGGACGAGAGCCGCCGCCGCCGCCGCCGCUUGCCGAGAGAAGAAGGAGCACUCGCCUGCCUCCACCUUCUCAGAAGUUGCUUGAUUCUUUUGCCUCUUCUAGUUCUCCUUAAUCUCAGAUCUGCUUUUAGGCCAAGGUGAGGAUUAGAUCUAGGUCUUUCUUCUUAUCCCUUUAUCUUCUUCUGUUGUGUUGAGUCUAGAUCUGGUGGGACAGGUCUGUCUUCUUGUGCAUCUAGGCAGAUCCAUAUAUAUAUAUAUAUAUAACUAAUAAGAUCUAGGAUCUCAUUAGAGGAAGAACCAGCAUGAUUGAUUGAUAACCCUGUUGAUUGGUUAGUGAUUGGUAGAAGUCCUAAAGGUCAUAGUCUGUUUCUGGUAUAGUGAUGUGCCGAAUGCAGGCUUGUUUGCUGGGUUAUGUGCCGUCUGUGUGACCGUGGCAAUAAUCCGUUCAUCCGGUGGAGUGAUGACCCACGGGGCUGUCCAUGUGGCAUGCCGGGAUUGGUCUGUCCGUGUGACAGGGUCUCUUUCUGUGUGACAGGGCGUCUGUCUGUGUGACAGGGUGAGAUGUCGACCUGUGUCCGAGUGACAAGGUGGUUUGGCCUAUUGAGAGGCGGGAUCGCAGACAUCACUGCUUGUUAGUUGCUUGUGCACUUGUAGAGUGCUUGUUUGGUUUCAUUAGAUUUAUUCUUAAUAUGUUGGUGGAAAUAAAUGAAUAAGGCGGGAGCCUGGUUUGGUUCUCACAAAUUAUUCACCCCUCUCUCUCUAAAUUCCGAUGUGCAGGUGAAUGUGAUUGUGAUUGUGAAUGUGAUGAUGUUUGGGAAGAACUAGACGAGUAAUUCUAGUGUGGUGUGCCUUCAGAAAUAGAGGAAGUUUUAUUGUUUUCAAGAACUAUUUCAUAUUUCUUCUUAAGACAAUGUUUCUAUUUUAUUUCAGAUUUCAUAAGUUAUUUCAUUUCUAUGGUAAGACUUGGAUUUGGGUUUGGAUUUGAAUAAAGAACAACAAGUUAUUUGGAAUUGAUUUAGUUUAAGUUAGUUAAUAUCCCGGUUUAUUCUGGUUUCCUUUGGAACCAGGAAUGGGGUGUUAUAAUAACUCUAUUUUUAAAGUAAUUCCAUUUUUUUAAUAGUAACUCUAUUUUGGAGAGAAAUAUGAAGUAGGUUUAGAGAGAAUUUUCUUCAAACUCUAUUUUGGAAUGAAAUUUGGAGUAGAGUAGGAGAUGUCUAAGAGAACUGAUUACCCCAUCAAAUGAACGCAAGAAACGAUUCUCGGUAUCUUCGUCCUCCAUUCAAGCUCAGUUUUUUGUUCUCGAGGAAUCAAUCUUAUUACAAACUGGCCAACUCAUGAGAAACUUGUAGCAUUUAAGGGUAGCUUUCUCAGCUUUGGACAGAGAUCAGCUACUAUGUGCUUCAGAAAUGGAAAGGCAAGAGGACUCCCGUAGAUACUCUACAGCUUAGGCAAAUUCCUAAAUGUUAUAAAUUUUAGUUUCUGAAAUGGUCUUAUACCUGUAAGAUUGUUACUUUUUUUUUUACAAUGUCUUCCAGUCUUCUUGAAUUUUCAAUCUGUAGGUAGACAAGAUAUAUUGACUAGAUUUUGUUGAAAAAUGUCAAUCUCUAAAACAUUGCUGCAGUUCGCCAACCUUCAAUCGCCCAAUAAUUGCUCUAAAUCCAACUCCGCAGAUAUGAUUAUGGUUAGAACUUGUGGAUUCUCCAAGAGCUGAAGCUCCUUCAAUAAGCUAGCAUCUCCAUGAAAAUUAGAAUAUUAUAGUUUCAAAAUUCUUUAACUUGAUACUUUUGAUAUCCCAUUGAUACUAGAAAGUCUCUAUGUAACAAUCAAAUUCAGCUGACUUCGCUUUUUAAUAUCUUGGUAGCCAACAUGGAGUUGCUCUAUACUGUAUACGACAAGUCAAGAUACUGCAAGGAUGCCAACUCUGAUAGCUUUUUCAUAAAGCGGAUGAAUUUACCUGAGAGAUUUUUCAAAUUGUCACUCUGGAGGAACAUAGUUGUAUAAGUUCAGAGCACUUGGAAAUGCAAGUUAUCUCUUUAAUCGUAUUCUUCAUUAAAGACAUCCUUCUCACAGCUUUCCAAUGCUUGACUUUUGGUAUUUCAUGUAGUCCAACAUAACCCUUAUUCUUCGCUCUUUUAAAAACUUGGCAUUCUCCAAUGAAUCCCUAGAUCACGUACUCUAUCAAUUUUUCUUUAUCUAUUCGAACAUCUUCUGGAAACAGAGCACAAUAAAAGAAACAUGACUUGAUACGUUCAUCCACCAAGCAAUUGUAGCUGUACUGGACAUUUUGCUAAUGUUGAGCAAACAUGACUUUAUCUAUAGAGGAAACAUGACUUUAUCUAUAGUGUUUUUGGUCAAUAGGUGGAAUGCAUUUAGCUAAUGACGAUGAAAGAGAGAGAGAUUGUGUUAGAUUUCAUUCCUCUUUGCUUUGUAAUUUCUCCCAUAGUUUCAAAGUCGUCGACUUGAUGCAACCAUGUUUUUAUAAAGAUGAUUAAUCCCCAGUUUCGGAGUAUUUUAAUCACAUUAGAUGCCACUAUGUUUUAAAAGACAAAGCUCAAAUUCGUUGACUUGAGCUUUUCAAGAACGAUUUGAAACGUGUGGCUGAUGUCCCAGAAAGAAAUGCACCUGAUUUCAGAAUGGCCUCCAGAAACCUGCACCAUACCAAGUAAAAUCAAAACAAAUUAAAGUCAGAUAAUAAAAAAUUAAAAGAGGAAUGCUUCUGGGGGACAACUCCUAAGCAGCAUUGCUCUUAGAUUUAGAAGGUUCAAGAAGAGAUUAUUUCUGUACCAGCAAAACUUGGCAUAUUCUGAGGCUUAAGGAGGAUAUAAAACGUUGGUUGAAAGCUGUGUGGUUCAAGAGAGCCACUCCAAAGCAUGCUUUCACCUUUUGGACGGCAAACUAAGACAGGUUACCACUGAAAACAAAGCUUGUGAGCUGGGGAAUUAAUAUCUCUCCAACAUGCUGCCUUUGUGACAUGGAGGAAGAGACUAGAGACCAUUUGUUUCUACACUGUCCAUUUUCUGAAGCAGUUUUGACCAUGGGGAUUCGGUGACUCGGAUUUUUUUGGAGUCUCAUUCUCUAAUUGGCAGUCCAUGAUCAACUGGAUGCUUCAACGAACACCAAGACUCUCCUCUACUUACUUGUUAUGGGGUGAACGAAACCAGAUAAUACAUGAUGGUCCUCUAUCUUCUGAAAACCAUCUCUUCGAUUAGUUGGAUAGACUGAUUAGAGACACAUUGUUGGCACACAAUCCCAGCGUAACUAUAGGGGUCUUCUAUCUCUUUGGUUUAAGAACCACUAGUUCUUCAAGCUCGAUUGUAAUUCUACUAAAAUGAUCUGUUUCCAAGCCUUUUUCCUUUUUUAGGCUUUUGAAACAGUGGCUGAGAGAUUUAUAGAAUAGUAGCGGAUUAAGCAAGAAUAUAGAGAGAUUUAGGUGAGAUUAAUGAAAAACUAAAGAAAAGAAGAGAGAAUCAAGAGAUUUAGAGAGAAAGAAAUGUAUUCUCAUUUUCUUAGAUCUAUAGAAAGCUGCUACAUUGUGUUUAAGUAGGAAGACAAAGAAAACUCUAACACAUAUGAGUAUACUAAAUACCUUAUAAAGUUUUAUAAAGUUUUAUAAAAUCUUAUAAAGUCUUAUAAAGUCUUUUAAAGUUUUCUAAUUGGAUUCCCACCAGAAAAGCUGAGAAUGAUCCAUCUUGUUUAACAGUGGCUAAUGUAAUAUACAAUAUAAUUCAAAUUUUAUUAAAAAAAAUAUAAGUUGCUUCUUUUGUGGGCAAAAAACAGGUCAUACAAAAGCUCGUCGUUAGUCUUUACAAGUUUCAGAGGACAGUAAUAUAUAAAAUCAUCAAAUAAUAUCGAAAACCCAUAGAAAUACACAAAAGCGUGUGUUCAAGAGGAAAGAAUUGUACAAGAAUAAUCUAUAACAUGUUGCAUCUAAUUGUGUCGAUGUUACAUGGGAUCUUCUUCGUCCAUCUACUAUAGUCAUAACAGGAUGUUAAAGCAAGACUUAAAGAUGAUGGAUCCGAGUCUGAAGUUACAGAAACGUGGAUUAAGCAAUAAAUUGGAGAUGAUGAAAAUAAGUUAUGCCCAAAGUAGCUUAUGAUGUGGAAGUGGGUUUUGUUUUUUUUUGCGAAUCCUAAAAGAUUAUUGUGUUGUGCUGAUUCUACGUUAGUCUUAGAAGAAUGGAGUGUGUAAAAUAGAGAAAAUUUUAUAAAAGAAGUAACGUUCAUAUGUAGAAAAGCAAGCUUUUGAAUGAAUAAUGGCUUGGUUUAUUUUUCUGUUGAAAGAAAAAAAAAAUUAUUUAAUAUUUCAAAACGAGUGUAAAAGUGAAAUACUUUCUCGCGAUAGAAAAAGUAUUUCACUUUCUCGCGACAGAAAAAAUAUUUCACUUUCUCGCGACAGAAAAAGUAUUCCACUUUCACUGCUGGUGAUCUAAAUGACGAUCCCAAAUAAACAAAUAAUAUUAGAAAUUUAUCUAUACACUAUUAUUUGCGAAGUUAAAAAUUUUAGGUAUUGUCCCCACAACAAUUGUUCUACGUGGCAUUAAUGAAAAAAUAUUAUUUAUUGUUUUAAUUUGUUUUAAUAGAUCGAUCAUUAAUCUUACGUGUAAAAACUUGUGACUUGGCUUUUUUCUUCGAUAAUGGGCUACAGAGUUUGUUCAUGGGCCAGCGAUUUUUUUUUUCACUCAUAGCCACCGAUUCUGGUAAUAGGGCACCGACGUCGAAACCCUAAACUCUAAAGAAUAUAUCCUACUAUAUAUACAUGUAUUAUCUACAUAUAUUUUUACAUACAACAACUGUCUUCAAGGUCUAGCAAUUUUUACAAAACUCGUCCACCUCUUUACACGAAUACAUCUUUUGUAUAUCCCAAUCUAGUUUAAAAUAUAUCGUUUAUUUAGUUGGUUGUUCUUCCAUGCUAACUUUUGAAUCGUUUUGUUCUGAUCGAGAUUCUUUUAUGCUAACCAGUCAAAUAUCUAUGUUUUUUUUCUAUCGUGUUCUAUAUUAUUAUGCAUCACAACUAUUUUAUUUUUUAAUCCCUGUUUUACUCUCUAUGCGAUUGGUCAUCGAGAUAUCAUAUUUGUGUUCUUUCUUUUGCUUUGUAAUUCUAUAUAUAAAAUUCGAUGCUUCAGUAUUAGAUAUUCAUGUUUCUCUUUAUUAAAUUUUUCUUAUGGUUAUAUUGAGUUAUUAUUCGUAAAUAUAGAUUGACCUGAGCUUCUUUAUUGUUUUCAUUGAACCUAGAGUUUAUCGUGCAAACUAUAGGUGAUUGGUUCAAACUUUUGCAAUCAUAUCUUCAAAUGAAUCUAACAGGUAAUUGUAAAUAAAUCAUUAGUACUUUUUUUUGUCAACAACUUAUUAGAACUUCCAAUUUUCUUAAUUGAUAUUCGUAAACUCUAUAAUUUAUUAUUUUGAUAUUCUUAAAAGGAUCAAAACCAUAGAAAUGAGUUUUUUUUUUGUGUGUAUAAUUCAUGUUUUAGUUUAGGUUUGUAUUAAUUUUUCUGGUAACAUAUUGUGAAUGAAUGUUAUUUAUUGUUUGAUUGUUUGAUUGUUCUUUGUUUCUCCUUGGGUUCUACUAUACAUUUUCUUUAUAUUGUUGUUUAUGUUUAUUUUUAUUUCUAAAUAUAAUUUUAUGGUUUUUGUGGUAGCUUUUGUGGACAUGUAAAAAAAAAAAAAGGAGUAACCAUUUCAGAUUAAUUUUGGUUUCAUAGUUUACUAAAGAUAUGUAACAUGAACAAAACGUCUAUUGUUUUAUAAAAUUCCCAUUGUUUUCUACCCAAAGGCAAUUAUGUUGGUUCUGGAAAAAAUGUUUUAUAGUUUUGCUUUUUACCCAACACAUUCUUUUAUCAGAAAAACAUUAAAUCACUCUCAAGAUUAAACUUAUCAGGCAUUAAAGCAAUAUUUUUGUUGGUAAGUCGAUGAAUGAGAAUGUGAUGUCUCAUAACUUCAAAGAGCAAAGGAAAAAUAAGUGACAACGAGACUAGAUUCGGUGUGAGUAGAAUCUUUACGCAUGUUAAGUAUUUGUUGAUAUACAGCAAUCAUAUUGAGAACAGAGUGCAAACCAAUUGCAAAUUGCACCAUCCAAUUGGUGUUAAAUUAUAUUAUGGUUAAUCCCUGACCCAUUUCUUAGUUUCAUCAUUAAUUAAUGAAUCAUCAGUUUUUUUUAACCCCUGAUGAGAGAUAAAAUCAGCUGAAGGAAGGAAAGUCACCAAUACAGAGGAAGAAGAAUAUUUGCUAUAAAAUAUUCAGGUCUUAAUUUUCAUCAUCCUUGUAAUUUGUUUCAGCUUGCUAAAACUACUUUUUUAGUGUUGCAGACUUCAUCGGAAUACCUAAUAAAUUGAUGAUUCUCUGAUACCAGAAUCUAAGAAAUAUACUCACACGUGAUAAACUGAAAUUUUUGUGAAUUGCAGAAUGAACAUACUCACACGUUGCAUUUCUUAUAUGUUUUGAUGUGAAACAAGUAAUUCUUCUGUCAUAUAGCUUUGUUGCUUUAAAAUUAAUCAGUCUGCUAUUACCAGUUACUUUUAAAUCAGAAUUUCAUAACGUAAUGUGGUAGCAUAAUCCAAAUUUGUUGAUUUAAGUAGGAUAUCCCGAAUAGGAAAUGUUGUAGUUCGUGUAUGGCAUACUUCAAAUCUUAGAAUAUGUUUUGGCUUGAGUCUUCAAGAUGUGCUAGAUAGUUAUCAACUUAUCAUCUUGAGGAAAUGAACUUAAAGAAUUAUAUAAGAGAUAUACUCAUAAUUCAUAUAUACUAUAAUCCAUUUUAUUGCCAAUUUUUUUUUUUGAGUUAGAACCUAUAAAACUUAAAAACAUAUAUCAUGGUAGAAUCAAGUGUCAUCUCACUAAGACUUAUUAUGCUCAUAUAUGGUUCUAUUGAUUUUAAAAAAAAAAUAAUAAUUAAACAUACGAAUUAACCAAAAUAUAGUUUUAAAAGUUUUAAGGUCUGCUAUGUUUUUUUAAAGUGUUAGAGCAUUUUCAUCCCUUAAAUCUAUUAGAGGUUCUUAAACAUAUUUUAAUAUUAAAUUUGUCAAAUAUUUUAAUAUUAAAUUUUAAACUGCUUAUCCUAAUCAAUUAAAACACGACACCUAGCUAAGAGAUUCAUUAAAAUCGAUCCUUAUUUAAGAAUCACAAUAACCAGUCCUUAAAAUUAAAUGCAUUUUUCAAUUAAUUUUAAACCCACUUUUCCUCUAAUAUCCCCAUAGGAUAUCACCGAAGAGGUAGGUGGUCUUACUUUGCUAAGCUUCAAAUUGUAUUGUCUUCACUCUUCAGUAUAAGACUAAUGAACAUUUAGUUUACAAUUUUGAAUUUUCUAAAUGGAGUAGGCCGAGAUCAGGCCCAGGCUAUAACCGCUUCUUACAGGCUAUUGAUGCAAUCAAAUGUUACAAAUUGCAAACGGCUAUUUGCUUUGUGUUAGCAUUGGUCCAUUGAAUUUUCAAUUUUUUUUUAAUAACUUAUAUUGAGUCAUAUGGAAAUGGACAACACUCAGUUUAAUAAUAGAUGUCCGGUAUCGGUUCUUAUCAGCACCGCUGCUUUGUAUGUAGUCGCCGUCUGCAAGAAUCAUUCUGAGAAAUGCUAGACAAAAGUGAGAAAGACGAUUUCGUAAAAGAAAGAAGAUUGAGUUUUGCCAGAAACUACUCUACAAGAUUGUUAUAGUUUCUGGACACGCAGCUAAUUCAAACGACGAACCAAUGUUCAAGACCGGUGGGCGGUGAAUUGCGAAUUUGUUUUUGGCUGAAGAUUUGUUCUUGGGUUCUUGUUUUAAUGUUCUUAAUGUGGUGAAGCCAUUAGGAAAGGAAUGUGAAAACUCUUAAAAUUAAGAAGACUCUUUCCAUGUCUUCUUAAGUGAAGUUGUCUCUAGUUAUUGCCCCAAAUCAGAAAGCCACUAGACAUAGUUUAGGAUUAGAUGGAAGUCACAGCAUCUUCAGAUUUAAAUUAGAGAGUCUGAAAAACAGGAUCUUCAUGAUUCAGCAAAAUCAUAUAACUUUUCAUCUUGAUUCCUCCUGUUAACAACACAUACACACUGCAAGAUGAAAUAGAAAAAGCUACAGGUAGAGAAAUUUCAUUUUGGAUAGUGAGGAAUCAAAAUACACAGUAAAUUCAGAGGCAUCACAUGCUUUUAUGAUAUAUCCUUUCACGUAAAAGCAUAAAAAAACUGUUGAUUAUAUAAAUACAUGUAGCUUGAGAAGGAAGCAAUCCGCCUUAACUUAUUACAUAGAAAAAUGAAAAAGAAAAUCCAAUUUAAAAACACAACACACUGCAGAGAUGUAUGAGACUGCAUAGGAAAAACAAUAAUACAAUCCAAAUGAAGAACACAUCAUACUUUGAGAAGAAAGAGAAAGCAGAAGAAGAAGCGUGGAUUCUGGUUUAUCACAGUGAGGAAUUCCAAUCCAAAUUGAGGGAUGGUUAGUCCUAAUAACUCAGUACUAUAAGAAAAAAAUAAAUAAACAAAGUUAGUGAAUAUUCAGAAAAAUACAUUUCACCUAAAACUGCUAGGAAUAUCCAGCAAAUUCUGCCUCACCAUUUAAUAUCUUAAUAAGAAGCUGAACCAAUUUUCAACAGUUUCUAUUAAAUAUUUGUAUAUAUUCCUUCAUUAACGAAUGUGAAAGGAAAAGAAGAAGAAAGAAAAUACUGUUUGUGAUUUAGUAGUCAUUUGAAGAGUUCAAUGCACAUAUGUAUUUAAACUUUUGAAAUUAUGACCCCUCGUAAAUAUCCAACAAACACAGGUCUGAUGAUUUUCGAGAUAAUUUUCUAAUUUUGUGACCCAAUUUGUGUUUUGUUGGGUAUCAAUGUAUCAUGAUGCAAAUGGAUCAUAUCAGACUAAAAAAAAAACGAUCACACCUCAUUCUAACCUUGAGCAAACAUGAAAGAAACUGAAGUAAGAUAAAAUAAUUUAUUCAAGCGGAAGAGAAUAAGAGAAAUGAUUACCCCAGCGAAUAAAAGGCAGGAAACGAUGUUUAGUAUCUUCAUUCUCCCAUUCCAGCUCAGUUUUCUGUUCUCGAGGAUACAUAUUUAUUUUAAACCCGCCAAGUCGUGGGACACUUGUAGCAUCAAAGGGAAGCUUUCUCAGCUUUGGACAAUCAUAUACUCCUAUGUGCCGCAAUGAUGGAAAGGGGAGAGGACUCCAGUAGAUACUCUCCAGCUCUGGCAGAUUUCUCAGGACUAAGUGUUCUAGUUUCUGAAAUGGUGUAGUACCUGUAAGAUUGGUUGCUUUCUCUUUGUUUAUGAUUUCUUCUAGUUCUCCUUCGAAAAUUUCUAGCCGAGUCAGAUUUGGAGAAAACAGUAGCCAAGUCAGAUCCUUAAUGCCAUGACAGCGAAACAUUGUCACGACGGAGAGGUUGGUAAAGCAUGAGCUUCCUCUGCAUUUAAUAUAUGUAUCAAUCGCCGACACAUGACUACUCACAUGGAGCUCACGAAGAUUCUCCAUACUCAACAGCGAUGACAUAUUGAAUGGCUUUUCCUCAAAUCCCACAAUACCCAGAUAAUUGAUGCAGUUAGCCAACUCGGUAGAGAUCGUUAUAUAUGCUUCAAACCCAACUCGGUAGAGAUCGUUAUCUGUAGAACUUGUAGAUGCUCCAAGAGCUGCAGCUCCUUCAACAAGCUAACAUCUCCAUGAACUUUAGAAUAUCUUAGUUUCAAAAUUCUUAAACUCGACAGCUUUGAUAUCCCACUGAUACUACAAAGACUCUUUGUAAAAGUCAAAUCCAGAUGAAUUAGCUUUUUCAACUCUUGGAAACCAACUGGCAGUUGCUUUAUACUUGUGCCCGACAAGUUAAGAUACUGCAAGGAGGCCAGCUUCGAUAUCUGCCGAUAUCGAUAUUACGUGAUAGAUCCAAAACAACUAGCUUUUGCAUAGAGCCGAUGAAUUCACCCGAGAGAUUCUUCAAAUGAGUAUUACGGAGGAGCAGAGUUGUAAGUUCAGAACACUUGGAACCACAGGUUAUCUUUUUAAGCUCAUUCUUCAUCAAAGACAUCCUUCUCACAGCUCUCCAAUCCUUGACUUUUGGCAUUUCGUGUAAUCCGACUCCUGCUUGAACCAAAAAAGUCUCUUUCUGUUUCCCAAAGUCGGAUGCAAUCCAUAGAGCCAUUUCGCGAACCACGUCAUGCAUCACAACACCUCUUCUACUAUUAGACUGUUCUGUCAGUAAAUUUGCGCGGAUAAGGGUACCAAGUACCUCAUAACCCUUAUUCACUGCCCUUUUAUAAGAUUGGUCUUCCUUGAUGAAUCCUUCGCAUAUCCAGUACUCUAUCAAUUCUUCUUUAUCUUCAGGAAACAGAGCACAAUAGAGGAAACACGACUUGAUAUGUUCACCCGCCAAGCUAUCGUAGCUGAACUUCAGAAUUGGCAGACCUUUUUUGCAUGCUCGACAAUGGCAGGAUCUCUACUUAAUGUGUAGUCUCCUACCUUGCUUUUGAACAAUUCCCAUGCUUCUUCUUGUCCCAAACAGUCGACUUUCAUCGGCUCAUGAUCUCCCAUCCGCCCACAUACUUCCCGAGUGGUGAAUGCUACUUUGCAUCCAUUUUCUCUGGUGGGAAACGGAACUCCGAUAGCUUCUAAAUCCACUUUCUCCCAUAUAUCAUCUAGCAUCAAAACAAAUCUCUUCCCUUUUAAAACUCUGUGUAUAUCGAUUGCCUUGUCACUUUCACUUUUGUUCGUUCCGCCAAGGUUUAGCUUUUGUGCAAUAUCUUCUUGAAGCUUUGAAAUAGUUGCACCUUGAGACACCACGACCCAGAUCACAACAUCAAAUCUACCAGCCAUUUCAGUGAACUUAUUGUGGAUAUUCUUGAAAAGGGUAGUCUUGCCUACACCUCCCAUACCGUGCAAACCAAUGAUUCCAACUCCAUCUUCCAUAAGGCGCUUCCAUGCCUCUCCCAGCAUUGUUUCCUGACCGAUCGUAGGCCCAGUAGGCCUUUCUUCUACUACAGAUCUCAAAACCGGCUCAGUAACCUCUUUAAAAUUACCCUCCGAUUUGAGUUUCUUAACCUCUUUCAGCAACAAGAAUACCUUUUUCCCAUAUUUGUAGCUCGAACAUACACUUUUU
rnacentral:lncRNA from 1 species